rnacentral:lncRNA from 1 species
GGCGACAAGCUCAUCAACGGUGCCAUUUUCGGAUUGAUGGGCGUGAUGUCGGUCUUGGUGGUGAAUUUCUGGCGGCAUCCUCCCCACGCCGCUCACGAACACCACGAGGAUUAGCGAGAAGUCAAAUCUUUUGGGGGUCCGCCAAGGAUCACUCCAAUUUUUCAUAAAGGAUGUGCUUGCUCGCGGGAGGUAAUGCUUGUUACUUGGCUUGAUUCGUGGAGAAGAACUACUUACCAGACAAAGCUUCUUUAUUUUUUUUUUUCGUAAUAAAAGGUGUUUAGUUGAAACUUUCGCGUCAGCACAGGAACUUAGAACACUCUUCCGCGCUGACCAGCAAAAUAUUCUCUGGGUUUGUCUGUCCCAUUGGUUGAAAGUUGCCAUGGAUUUUGUUCUAACGCUUGUUGACUGCAGUCCCUCGCGAUUAAAGUCGCGUUGUUGGUGAGCGUACGCCGGUGAAACAAGAAUUUCUCCGCGCAAUCGCUGUGACUCAUCGCCACUUUCACUCGUAUAUAUAGAACAAGUUCCUCACUUGCUGGCAACAUUACAGCGCUUCUCGAGUUCGUUCUUCAAGGAGCUUCAGUCCAGUUCUCUUUCGGAAGAGUUCUUUUCUUGAAGUUUCUUUCGAGAAUGACGAUGAUGGAUGCAGUAAUGAGCUCGGGUCGAUUAAUCAACACGCAGUCGUGGCCGAUAGGCGAUGUUGGCGACGCUCGGCGAGCUCGUCCCACGUCCUGGAGGACGACAACGCGUGCGGUGAAUGGAAACGCUGUCUUGGCUCCCGAGAGAUUUCCUGGCUCUGGCUCGCUGCUCGAGCGCUCGAGCUACUGCCCUCGAAGGAACGUGGAGAGUUUCAGUAUCAGAAGCUACGAAGUGGGAGAAAAUCGCAAAAUUUCAAUUGCAACUCUUGCUAAUCUUCUCCAGGUACGUGAUGUUCUCUUUUCCUGUUGCGUUGUUUCUUGGUGAUCACACUUUGCAUUUUUAUGCAGGAGGUGGCUUGCAAUCACGCUCGUAAUAACGGCUUCUCUGUGGACGGCUUCGCGACCACUCUGUCAAUGAGGAAGUAUGGAUUGAUAUGGGUUAUCACACGGAUCCACAUAGAAGUCGAGGAGUAUCCUAAAUGGUACUAGAACUUUGAUCAAUACCGCUGCUCUUUGUGCUCAAAAGCUGAUCGAUUUUUUUCCUUGUUCAGGGGAGACAACAUCGAGAUUGAUUCAUGGUUCCAGUUCCAAGGCAAAAACGGUACUAGACGGGACUGGAGAGUGACAAACACGAGAACCGGAAAAGUGAUCGCAAGAGCUACGAGGUAAGUUCUUUCAAGUCUAAAAGAAACUUAGCCAGAAAGAUUUUUAAAAAACAAUUUCUUGCAGCACUUUCGCUCUGAUGAACGAGCAGACUCGUCGCUUGGCUCGAAUCAAUGACGACGUUCGGAACGAGUUUUGCCUUUACGUCUUGCAUCCGCCAAGGUGAAGAAAAAAACAAUUUUUUGAAGAGAUCUCGUGAUAAAUAAGAUCUGUUUAAUUGUAGUUGGGUUUUCGUGGACGACGCUGUCACCAAGAAGCCAAUCUCCAAGCUCAGCGAGUACCAGCACGUCAAAGAGAACUUAAAAGUAAGUAUCACAAUUCGUCUUGAAAAGUUUGUGUCCCUAGAUUCAUUGUGUUUUCCUCUUUGCAGCCCUCUCUUGCGGACUUAGACAUGAACCAACACGUAAACAACGCAACUUACAUGAACUGGAUACUCGAGGCAAGUUCAUUUCACUCGAUCCAAUCUCCAGACAACAGAACUAAUCUAAUCUUCUCUUUUUCAGAGCUUGCCCCGGGAAGUUCACACCAAGAACGAGCUCAACUCAAUGACACUCGAGUUUAGAUGCGAGUGCAAACGAGAAAACACGAUCAAUGCCUGUUCCAGCCUCGAGAUCGAUGACAAGAACGACGAAUCAAGCUCCACUUUCACGCACCUCUUAUAUCUGGUUGGUAGCGACAAAGAAGUGAGCAGGAGUCGAACAACGUGGAGAAAACCAAGCUUUUAGAAAAUUGAUAAAUUCUUGUUCAGUUCAGUUGAAGAAUUUUGGUCAGGCAGGGCUUUAGCAAAAUCCUCAUUGAAGACUAGAUAUUUGGGUUAUUCGAAAGACAGGCUAUACUAGCAAGUGCAAGACUAUCCUAAACCAGCAAGAGUAAAAUCAAGUAUCCAAUAGUUCUUAAGUUUAAUAUAUAUUUUUAUUAUUUUAUUUACAUUUAUAAAUUAUUUUCUUCAAAAGAAUAUUGAUUUCACUUUGUGAGUGUAUGGAAUAUGGAAAGGGAAUACAAGAAAUAUAUAUAUCUAACUUAUAUAGAAGAGUGAGUAGUUUGGAUUGAAACCAAUCUGACAUUUACCAAAAUCCUAUUAUGAUAAUAUACUAUAACAUCAUAAUUGUACACUUAGACUUUAUAUCAUCCCCUCAUCUCAGAAUGAUGGAAGCCCGUCAUGGUUCUUUCAUGAAUGGGCCAGAACAUUAGGGGGAGGCAUUAGUGGAUUUAUAGAUGGUGCUAAUUAUUCUUAAUCCCUUUGUACGAAACAUUUUAGCUGCUGCACAUACACAAUUUUUGGAGGAUCUGCUUGUUGAACGUCAUGCCGAACCUCAUAAACUUGUAGUCCAACUUACCACAACACUCAAUAUAGUCCUUUCCACUGAGUAAGAAGCCCUUUAGAUAAACCACAUAUCGUAAAAUAGGGAAAACAAAUUAACACCAAGUCAUCCACUUUCUACUUUGCAAGUGGAUGAUGAUGGGAAUUGUAGUGCCAUUAUUGUCCCACUUGCAUGCGGCAAGGUGUUUAGUAAAUUUUGUUCUGACAAGAUGCUUGUCAAAUAUUGAUCCCACAACCUAGCAUCACUUGCCCACGGCAAUUAUAAAAGUAAACCCAACUCCGUUGGCAAUAUUGGAUCAUGACCAUAUAAUAGUUUGGUGAAACAUCAAUAAAACUUUACACUUCUAUAACAUACAUAUACCGAAGAGAUGGCAAAUAACCAUCCUAAUUCGAAUGCUAAAAGUUCACAUACUUCGCGAUCAUCCUUUUAAAGGUCCAAAUGAGCCGUUCCACCAAACUAUAUAACUAUAGAUGAUAAGCACUUGUGAAAGUGUGGCGUAUCCCCAACCAAGGCGUCAAAACGUGAAAUGCCUCAGCCAUAAAUGUAGGACCAUUAUUUAAAAAAAUCUGCUUCAAACAGAAAUGUUGGAACACCACUCUAUUGAGGAGGAAGUAUCUAACAGCAGUUAUAGAUGCAUUAGCAAAAUCACUAACUUCCACCCAACAAGUCAAGUAGUCAGAAGCAAUAAUAUUAUACUCAUUGCCAGCAGUUAAUCAUGAAAAAUGCCCCAUUAAAUCAAAUGCCAUCAACUCAAAAGGACAGGUAACUGCAAUUUACUCCAACCGCCUUUCCGCAACACGAGGGGGAGUAUUACAAGCUUGGCACCAAACGCAAUUAUACAUAUACCAAUUAACAUCAUAAUGCAUCUCUAGCUAAUAGAAAUAUUUGAGUAGCUUUUCGAUCACACAAUGAUGUCCCAUAUGCCCCCCUAGAAUAGGAGAAUCAUGGUAGGCAUGAAAAAACGUGGAAUAAAGAUCGAAGGCACCACUAGCCGUAAACGAUUAUCAAGAUCUAUCCCCACAAAAAUAAAUAAAGUUGUCCUCAAGGCGAUAUUGAGAAUGUAAAUGCCAGAAUGGCAAAUCAUCAAUAAAUGAUGCAAAAUUCUUAAACAAAUCUCGAAGCUUUCGAAUCCAUGGCUCAAUAUUUUGAGCUUCGCGAGCCUCAUCAAGAGAAGGUAGACUUUGUUUUACACCUUGUGGACACUGAACAUCAAGUACAGCAACCGCCGAUGGCACAGAAUCCUUGUCUAGAAAAUCCACAAAUGCUAGAAUAACAUGUUCAUCAAAAACAUAAGAAGAGAGCGAAGAAGGAAGAGGAGCUUGAGAAAGGGUAUCGACAUCAGCUAUAAAACUCCCCGAGUGAUAAACAACAUUAAAACCAUAUAUUUGAAGUUUCAAAGCCACUAAGUAAUAUGACUAACUAGGUUCUUCCGCUUUAAUAAUGAAGUAAUAGCAGUAUAAUCACUUUCUAGUAACAUUUGAAAACUAUAUAGAUAUGCAUGAAAUUUCUCGAAACCCCAGACCAUUGCUAAAGACUCCUUCUUUGUUGUGGAGUAAUUCACCUCCGCUAGUUGUAAUAUAUAGCUUAUAUAUAAAAUAGGAUGGCAUUGACUAAGCACACUCAGGCUCUUUUGCAUCAGCACACAUUCAAAACCAAUAUUAAAAGCAUCUACGUGCAAAAUAAAAGGUCAAGUGGGGAGUCGUCAAUAGCUUUUUGAGAUCCAUGAAUGCCCCUUCACAAUCUACAAACUAAAUGAAAGAUGACUUUGAUGAUUUCAACAAUGCUCGGAACGAUGCAGUGUAAUCAAAAAGAUGAUCCACAAAACAACUGAGAUACUGCACUUUGCUCAGGAAGUGUUACACAUCAUUCAUACACUUUAAAGUAGGGAACUUUAGAACAGCUAUAAAUUUGUCAAGAUUAACUUGCAAACCCUCAUGAGAAAUAUGGUACCCAAGAUAAAAUAAAAUACGACAUAUUCCUCCUACAUCCCCUCCGAGAGGAUCAAGACAUCAUCAAUAAAAUCAAUAGUCACCUCCGACAUAUCAUAAAAAACCUUGUCCAUCAUCUGUUGAAAAGUUGUUACAACAUUAUUUAAACCAAAUGGCAUUACCAAGAACUUGUACAAACCAAACAGUGUACGAAAAGCAAUCUUAAGAAUAUCUUCUUUGGCCAUUGGUAUUUGCCAAUAUCCAGAAGAAAAAUCUAGCUUGGUGAAUCAACGACUUUUUCCUAGACAAUCUAAAAAAUCAAUAGUGUGAGGAAAAGGGUACACAUCCAGGAUUGUUACUUCAUUUAACAAAUGAUAGUGGAUGCAAAAACAAAUACUCCCAUUACGUUUUGUCACAAAAUGAAGUUCACAUGCCCAAGGAUUUCACGACUUUCGAAUAACACCCUUUUUUAACAUCUCCUUAUCGUUUGCACAUAAAAUUUUGAUUUCCUUAGGUGAUCGAUGACAAAUAGAAACCUUGAUUGGAUGAGCAUCCCUAAUUGGAAUCAGAUGAUGUAUGGCAACCUUCGCCCCAGACAAUAGGUCAAAUUUAAAGAGAUUUGCAUACUCUUUCAUGAGCUGGUCAACUACUAUAACACAAAGACCGUCAGAGGGAUCAGAAAGGGGAAAAGCAGAACAAAACAAAAAUAUAGAAGGAUGCAUAAGUCCUACAAAAUCUUGACAAAAUGCUAACCACAACAUUCCUACCUUAAUCUGCUUUGACAUAUUUGGCUUCACACAAAGCAAAAGGCUUCAAAAACAAAUGCCAAAUUGUAUCAUCGACUCAGAUGGCCCUUAACAAAGAUGAUGCAAUUGUUGGAAAGCAUUAAUCACAAUCCUCAGCAUGUCCAAAUGUGUGUUUGAAGACAUCCAAGAGAAUACUCUAAUCCCUAUGAGUGGUUGCACUUAAACUAUUGUACCACUGUAGCACUAUCCCUUUGAGACAUAUAAGAAACUCACGUAAAUAUUAAACAAUAUCCCAAGAAUGAUAUGUUGCAAUCACCAUGAAGUGAUCGAACCCAUAGUACACAUCAUCCUUAGGAUUCCCAUGAAAGAAUUCCGGCUAAACGCGAGGAUUGGCACCAAGAGGAGGAGGAGUUAUACUAUGUGCCGUGAAUGCCACCACCAUCAAUUGAGUUUAAUUGUUCAAUUGCAAUUGCAUAACUUCAAGCAAUUGCACCAACUACUGCUCCAGAGUCAAAGGAGGAAGAAAUUGCUACUAUGCUAUGAAGAUAAAUAAAAAGGAAGGAGUAAAGAAAAACUAGAAGGAAAGGGAGAUCUAGAUAGUACAAAAUCUAAACUAAAAUCCCAAAAAAAAAAGAACAAAAUAAAGGAAAUGGAAAAAAUUAGAUUUAAACGAUGCAAAACCUACAUCUAAACUAAAUCCUAAAUCCAAGCACUCCUUAGGGACAAUCAAAACUACCUCUCAUCUUCAUUAAUGUGAGUGCGUAGAAUAUGGAAGGGAAUAUAGAAAAUGUGUAUAUUAAUUAGCCCAAAAACCAUACCUUAUAUACAAGAGUGAGUGGUCUGAAUUGAAACUAAUCUGACAACUAUCAAACUCCCACUACACUAAUAUUAGCAUAUAGCUGUACACUUGGACUUCAUUUAGAAAACUUCAUUUAGAAUAUCAUCUUCAUUUUAAAAAAUUGCUAUUAAUAUUUCUAGUAAUUAAUUAUUUAUAUAAUUAUUUUAUCACCUUUAAUUAGACUACUCUAUUUAAAAGUAGCUAGAACCUUCAAAUAAAUAUAUUUGGAACCUAUUUAUAAUUUGAGCUAUGAACUAUGUUAAAUCAUAAUUAAAUUAGAAAUAAAUAAUAUAUAUAAAUAUAUAGCAAGCAGUUUGUGAUAUUAGUUUUUGGGAAGUACACAUUUUAACAGUUUAUUAGAGUUUAAAUAUAGAGAAAAAAUACUUAUAACAUCUAAUUUUUUAAUUGGGAUAUUUAAGAUUAAUCAUUUUUUGAUAUUAUUAGGUGACCUUUGGGGGAGUUUAAAUUCUAGAGCUUAAAGUGUACCUUAGUUAGUCUUGUAUAAACAAAUAAAAACAUAUGUGUGCUUAAUUUGUAUUUAUGUAAUUCAAAAAAUAAUAUUUUAAACACAACUUUUUUAACAUAGAGGCAUACAUUGGUAUUUAUCACAUAUGCAUAGCAAAGUCCAGGACAACAUAAAGUCUACAACUUUGUAUGUUGCAUAAAUUUUAACAAGAAAAUUAGUAAAUUAGUUAACCUAUAGUAACUACACCAUGCUCUUUUGACUCCAUACAAGGCAUGUACUUGAAAACUGUAGGAUUGAUAUACACUAGCCACUUCCUACAAAAUUAUAGGGAUGAAUUCUAAUUUCAAAAUGCAUACACAUUUGCUAUGAUAUAUAGGGUGAUUGCAUGGUUAUAUUAAUGCAAAAUCUAAACACUAACCAUGCAAACGAAGUAUUUUCACACUAAGAACAAUAUCUAAAAAAUAGACAUUUCCCACCAUCUCUAGGAUCCCAUAACUUUUCAAUGGUAGACUAUAGAGAAAGUUACAAGGUGAUGGUAGCCAUAUAUCUAACUAUAUGUUAUUUAUGUGCAAAAUUUUUAGCUCCUUAAUUGUAGCAAAUAUCUAAAAUGAAAAAUACAUACAUUAGCAUGUGCAUUAGAGAAGAAUGGGCAUAAUUAAUUACUUACUUAUGAGUAAGUGUUGCAUUCCAAUGCUUCUUAUUCACCAUAAUUCAAUUAUUGCAACAAUUACGAAGUUCAAGCCAAGAAGAAAAACCCUUAAAAAGAAAGCAUUACAUUUUCAAUUUGCAACACACUUAAAUGCAACAAACCAUUGCAAUGAAAAACAUUUUAUAUAUGGUUAGGAUCACAAGAAAUUGAUAAAUAUAACUUUAUUACAGUUAUAAUAAUAUCCAUUUGCUCAUAGAAAAACCACCAAACUCGAUACCCAGAGCACCCAAAGAAAUAUUUUACCUUCAACUCCAUGUUCCAAUUGAUCAUGCUCACCUUUGUAUUAAUCUUUUGCUGAGAGUGUUAACCUACAAACAAGCCAGGAAAAAAUAAAAGGCACUUUCAGGAGUGAUCAAAGCACCAUGUUUACAUUAGAGCAUACUACGAUCAAAAUAUGCCUUCAAUUUGCAAACAAUGAGCCAACUAAAAAAAAGAGAGAUUAUCAUAACUAAAUGAUAACAAAUCUGCUAAAUGACACAAAAAUAAAAUUAAAAAAAAAUUCACUAGACUUUUGGUGAUGUCAUGUUGUCUGAGAUAAUAUGGUAGCAUUUUUCCCAUAUAUAUCCCAUACAUAUAUAAAAUAUCCCAUGACAAAAAUAUUGUACGGACAAUCUAUUUUAGAUUGCUUAUAUAGCAAUUGAAAAGUGAUUAUAUACAUAAUAAUUUUCAUGCAAUUCAAAAAGUAAAAAUAAAAAUAAAUCUACACAUAUGUAAUAUAUAAUGCAGGCAUAUGUACAUUCAUUACCAUGAUAAUUGUAGUAUUAAAAAUAUAAAAAUAAAUAAAAGGAUAUAAAAAAAAUAUAAUAUCAAGAUACUAGCAAAUCCAAUAGCUUUAUAUAUAAAUAUGCCUUGAAAUACUACAUGAUACAUAAUUGUUUGUAUUAAAUUCAUAUAAAGUAUUUUUGGAAGUUUGCUUACUAUAACAAUUCUGAACAGUAAAGUAUAUUGGUUAAAAACAUUCAAGUUUAAAAUUGCAAUAUUUAUUGAAGAACCAUACUAUUUUAUCAUAAUAUUUUAAAAUAAAUUCCUAUUAUUUUGCAAUUUCAAACAAAAGUUCAUAAUAUUUUUUAAUGAUUCUAAAAUUAUUUUAUCUUUUGAUUACGCAAAAAGAAUAUAACUAAUUUUUAAUAUUGAUUUAUUUUUUUCAUUAGGAGAGACCGAAAAAUCUAUCACUAUAAGAACUUGUAUUGUAAUAUAAAAUAAUAAUCAUCAAAUUACAAUAAAAUUAAUCAUGAAUAUAUUUAUAUUAAUUAUAUGUGGUUAAAGUAUGAGAAUUACCUGUUUUGAAAUUAUAUUUUAGUUUAUAUUUUAUAGCAUUCUUAAUAAAUUUUGAAAAUAUUAUAUUAUGUUUACACCUUUCAUAUAUACAUCUGUGUUUUAAAUAGGCAUUUAUUUUUAUAUUUAAUAAUUAUAUAAGUAAUGUUUUUAAAGUAGUAAUUUUAGUAUUAUCUGUAUAAGUUGUUGGACAACUAAAAUUAUAAUCUAUUUUCUCUAAUAAUUUAUAAAAUGGUGCAAUAAUUUUACCAAUAUCACAUGAAUUUAAUUAUGUUAUAUUUGGAGUAAGUUUUAUUAAAGUUUGUGAGGCCCAAAUGUACAAUUACAAUGCUAUAUACUAAUAUUAAGAUAGUGGGAUUUUAGUAGUUGUCAAAUUAGUUUCAAUCUGGACCACUCACUCCUGUAUAUAAGCUAUGGUUUUUGGGUUAAUUAAUAUGCACAUUUUCUAUAUUCCCUUUCCAUAUUCUACACAUUCACAUUGGUGGAGAUGAAGGGUAUUUGAAUUGUCCUUAAGGAGUGCUUGGAUUUGGGAUUUAGCUUAGAUGUAACUUUUGCAUUGUUUAAAUCUAAUUUUUUCCAUUUCCUUUCUUUUGUUCUUUCUUUUAGGGACUUUUGUUUAAAUCUACCUUUUACAUUGUCUAGAUCUCCCUUUUCUUUUAGAUUUCUUCAUUUAUUUUCUUUUGCUUUUUCCUUUACAUUCAUAUUCAUGGCAAAGCAGCAAUCUCCUCCUCUUUCGACUCUGGAACAACAGUUGGUGCAAUUGCUUGAUGCUAUACAAUUGCAAUUGAACAACUAAACUUAGUUGAUUGCAGCAUUCACAGCACGUGAUACAGUUCCUCUUGUUCUUAGUGUCAAUCUUUGACUUUGGCUAGAGUUCUUUCAUGGGAAUCUUGGGGAUGAUAUGUACUAUUGAUUUGAUCACUUCACAAUGAUUGCCAUAUAUCAUUCUUGGGAUGAUGCUUAACAUUUGCAUGAGUUUUCUACAUGUCUCCAAAGGACAACACUACAGUGGUACAAUGGUUUGAGCAUAGCCACUCAUAGGGAUUGAAGUAUUCCCCCAGACAUCUUCAAACGUGCAUUCAAACAUGCCAACGAUUGUAAUGAUGCCUUCCAACAAUUGCACCAUCUUCGUCAAUGACCAUUUGAGUCAGUGAUAUAAUUUGGUGUUUGUUUCUAAAAUCUUUUACUUCGUGUAGAGCCAAAUAUAUCAGAGCGGAUCAAGCUGGGAAUGUUAUAACUAACACUUCCUCAAGAUUUUGUAAGACUUGUGCAUGCACUUGCUCCAGCCACCCCUAACGAAGCCCUUCACUUGGCACAACAUUAUGAGAUGUUGCCUCUUCCACUUCUUGUUGCCACUCCUUGUGGGAGAUGGUCUUAUUCUAAUGGAGGUUGAUGUUGCUGUUGCCUAUAUUUCUGUCUUGUUUUGCCCUUCCUUUUUCUGAUCCCUCUAACAGUCUUUGUGUUGUAAUGGUUGACCGGCUCAUGAAGGAGUAUGCCAAUCUCUUUGAAUUUGACCUAUCAUCUGGGGCCAAGAUUGCCACACAUCAUUUGAUUUCAACUAGGGAUACUCGUCCAAUCAAGGUUCUUAUUCGUCAUUGAUCACCCAAAAAGAUCAAGAUGUUACAUGCAAAUGUUAAAGAGAUGUUGGAAAAGGGUGUUAUUCGAAAGUCAUGGAGUCCUUGGGCAUGUGAACCUCAUUUUGUGAUAAAGCUUGAUGGGAAUUGUCACGAAUAUGACUUCAGGUAUCAAAAGUUACAUGUCGACUAGUCCUUUCAAAUAUUCUUUCCUUACUAUCACGACAGUAGAAAGUUAGUAUUGCUAGACCCAUUAUCAAUCUCCACUUAAGCUAGUUGAGAAACUGGUCAUGUUAUCUUAUGGUAAAUCACCAUAAGAUAAAGGGUAAAAACCACAUGCGCUACAGGAAUAUUCAUUUCUGCAUCAACUAUCGUCCGUUAAAUGAAGUGACCAUCCCUGAUAUAUAACCUCUUCCUCACACUAUUGAUCUUUUGCAUUGUCUAGGGAGAAUUUGUUAGUUCACAAAGCUAGAUCUUACUUCUAAAUACUAGCAAGUACUUAUGGUCAAAGAAGAUAUUCCUAAGACUGCUUUUCGUAUAGCAUUUGGUUUAUAUGAGUUCUUAGUGAUGCCAUUUGGUUUAAAUAAUACUCUAGUGACUUUCCAGCGGAUGAUGGACAAGGUUCUUUGCGAUAUGCCAAAAAUGACGAUUGACUUCAUUGAUGAUGUCUUGAUCCACUCGGAGGGGAUGUGAGAGGAAUACGUUCAUGAUGUUCAUAAAGUAUUAGAUCGGUUACGGGAAGUUAGUUUAAAACUGAAGCGGUUGAAGUGCGUAUUUGGGUCCAAGGACACAAGUUAUCUUAGGUAUUGUAUUUCUCGUGAUGGUUUGCAUGUUGAUCCUGACAAACUUAUAGCUAUUCUAAAGUUCCCCACUCUAAAGUGUGUGAAUGAUGUGCAGUGCUUCUUAUGAAAGGUGCAAUAUUUUAGUUGUUUUGUGGAUCAUAUUUCUAAUCGUACUGCACUAUUGCGAGCAUUACUGAAAUCAUCAACAUCAUCUGGUCUGCAAACUAUAAAUGGGUGUUUAUGAAUCUCAAGGAGCUAUUAACAAUUCCUCUGGUUUUAGCAUAUCUUGACUACACUCGACCUUUUAUUUUGCGCAAGGAUGCUUCUAAUAUUGGUUUUAGAGGUGUGUUGAUGCAAGAGAUUUUAAGUGUGCCUAGUCAGCACCAUCCCAUUGCAUUAAGAAGCCGUACAUUACAAUUAGUAGAGGCAAACUACUCCACAAUAAAAGAGUGUUUAGCAACAAUUUAGGGAUUUGAAAAACUUCAUGCAUAUCUAUAGACAUUACUAAAAGGUGAUCAUGUUGUUGUUACCUUAUUAUUGAAGUGGAAAAACCUAAUUAGUUAUAUUGUUCGGUGGGCUUUAAAGCUUCAAAUAUAUAAUUUUGAUGUUGUUUAUCAUUCGGAGAGUUUUAUGGCUAAUGCUGAUGCCCUUUCUCGAGCUCCUUUUUCUUCUUUGCUCUCUUUUUAUAUUUUUUAUAAGCUUGUUAUUCUAGCAUUUGUGGAUUUUCUAGACAAGGAUUCUAUGCCAUUGGUAGUUGCUAUACUUGAUAUUCAAAGUUCACAAAGUGUAAAGCAAAAUCUACCUUCUUUUGAUGAGGUUCGUGAGGCUUAAAAGAUUAAGCCAUGGAUUUGAAGGCUUUGAAAAGGCUUUGAGAAUCUUGUAUCACUUGUUGAUGACAUACCAUUCUGGCAUUUACAUUUUCAAUAUCACCUUGAAGAUGGCCUUCUUUAUUUUGUAGGGACAUAUUCUGAUGAUCAUUUACGGCUGGUGGUGCCUUUAAUCUUUAUUCUAUGGUUUCUCCAUGCCUACCAUAAUUCUCCUGUUCUAGGUGGGCAUAUGGACAUCGUCAUGUGACCGAGAAGCUAUGCAAGUCUUUCUAUUGGCCAGAGAUAUGACAUGAUGUUAUCUAGUAUGUGCAUAUCUAUGUUUGGUGCUAAGCUCGUAAUACUCCCCCUCAUAUUGCAAAAGAACAGUUGGAGUUAAUUGUAGUUUCUUAUCCAUUUGAGUUAGUGGCAUUUGAUUUUAUGGGACAUUUUCCAUGAUCAAUUGCUGGCAAUGAAUAUGUUAAAAUUGCUUUUGACUACUUGACUCGCUGGGUGGAAGUUGAUGUUUUUAUUAUUGCCUCUGCAAUUGCUAUUAGGUACUUCCUCCUCAAUUGAGUGGUGUUCCAACAUUCUUGUCCAAAGCAGAUUCUUUUGAAUAAUGGUCCUGCAUUUAUGGUUGAGGUAUUUCAUGUUUUAACAUCUCAGUUGGGAAUACAUCACACUUUUACGAGUGCUUAUCAUCCACAAACAAACAGUUUGGUGAAAUGGCUUAUUUGGACAUUCAAAAGGAUGAUCAUAAUAUAUGAACUUUCAGCAUUCGGAUUGGGAUGGUUAUUUGUCGUUUCUUUAGUAUACAUAUGUCAUAGGGGUGUAGAGUUCUAUUGAUACUUCACCAUAUAAACUCCUAUAUGGUCAUGAUUCAAUAUUACCAAUGGGGUUUACCUUCAUGAUUAUCAUGAGCUAUCGAUGCUAAAUAGUGGGAUCAAUAUUUAACGAGCAUUCUUCCACUUGUCCAAGCAAAGUCUGCCAAACACUUGGGCCACGUACAAGUGGGAAAAUAAUAGCAUUACAACUCCUAUCAUCAUCCACCUAUGGAGUACAAAGUGGAUGACUUGGUGUUAGUCCGUUUUCCCCAUCUUACGGUACAUAGUUUAUCUAAAAAGUGUAAGCGACUAAAUUUUCUAUUUUACAUUAGUCACUUAACCACAUUUCCGACCACUUGGAAGAGUCUCACUCACAACUUCCAAAAAUCUUAUUCCAGAUUUAGGGCUUGCUAGCCCCAAGAAUGGCAUCCAUGCCACUCAGCCUUUGCACUUGGUCCAAGUGCUCCUCGUUUCUAAUUCCAUAAAUGACACCCAAGGUACCACCCAUAUAUCAGCCUGUUAUGUUAAGGCCAUGCCUAUUCAUCUUUGUCAUACUGAUGAUUUAGCACCACCUACAUCAUAGUCCUGUCUCUUAAAGACUAGAUCAUCUGUCCAUAAGUGAUCAUCCCAGAUCCACUCCUUACCAUCCUUAGGAUGCCUGCAAACAUAGGGAGGAACCUUCCCUAAUAUCCCUCUUUCGGUCCCCACUAAGUCCCCUUUUUAUCCUUGGCCGUGUUUGCCAACACUGCCACUAAGUCAAGGCCCACAUACUCGACCACUAAGUCCCAUUGUCCUCUAAGACUUCUUUACCAUGUGACUAUAUUUUUGGUCACUACACUAGAGGAUUGCUCCUUUUUCUUUUCAUAAUCCGAGACUUUGGGAUAACAUUUCAAAACAUCAUGGCCCUACGUGAGCCUCAUAGGUACUUUUCCCACCUUCCGCCUUUGGGUGCUAUAGCCAUGGAGCUUGAGUGAGGUUCCGUUGAGCCAUGCCAAGUUCCAAGUAGGUAGUACCACCCACACUUGGAUUGGGAGCAUUAACCAUUUGAUCUCCCAAAGGAGCUAAAGCUAGAGCUAGCUCUUGAACACUUCACUAAACUACCCCAUUUUCUAUCUGUAUUCACUCUAGCUUUGGACUCCUUAGUGGAUGUAUCAUCACCCAACAUGUGAGUAUAGCAUUCUUAGGUACACUAGCCUUUCCUGGCCAAAUUGGUCCAACCCCCACACUCUCCCUACUAUACUUUUGGAACACCCUGCAACCCCCUCGGGGGAUGAUCGCUUUAAGCUUUCACCCAACAGCUUAUAUUAGUAUUUGGACUCAAACUCAAACUCAGACUCGGAGUUGGAACUCAGUCUUGGACUUGGACUCGGACUCGAAGUUGGACUUGGUCUUUGACUCAAACUCGGACUCAGACUCGGUCUCGGUCUCAGUCUUAGUCUCAAUUUUAUCUCAGACUCCAUCUCGGUGUAAGCAACUAAAGAGAACGACUCAAGAGAUGAUCCAUAGGGUUCAAAUAUAGAGGGAAAAGGCCCAUGAAUAAGAUUGCACCCCUUUUUCUAAUUGGUUAAGGGUUUUGGGAUACUUAGGGUUAAACGUCCUUGGGUUUGAAUAGUAUUAGGCUGGGUGACCUCCUAGGAAGUUCAAACUCAUGAUCUUACAUUUGGUAUCAAAGCAGGUUUUAAGUUUGACUUUGUUGAUUGGCUAGGGGAAUCACACCACAUGUUAAUUGACAUCUAGUAGGUCCAAUGUGCUCCGACUGAGCUCGACCUGAGGGUAAGGUGUCAAGAGAGUAGGGCUCUCGAGAGAGUUGUGGCUCUCAACUUCCAUUCACAAGGGCGUGAACUUGUAGGGAAGCAUGGUGGAUUGUAAAGAAUGACUCGAAAAAUGGUCCAUAAGGUUCAAAUAUAGAAGGAAAGGGCCCAUAAAUAAAAGUGCACCCCCUUUUCCAAUCGGUUAAGGGUUUUGGGAUACUUGGGGUUUAGUGUCCUUGGGUUUAAAUAAUAUUAGGUUAGGUGACCUCUUGGGAAAUCCAAACUUAGGAGUUUACACUCGGGUCCUUUUUCUAAAGACUAACUUAUUGCUUGCUUCAAGCUUGUUCCUCAAGCCCUUCAUUGGGAGUUCCACUCCUACUCUUGACUUUUCAAGUCAGAACUUUUAAUCUAAACAUGUUACAUUCGUUUGGCUUUCGCUUCGGCCACUACCCUUUCAGCUUCAAUUUGAGGCUUAGAGAUUUAUGUCUCACAAGGGGCUCCUUGCUUAGUGGAAAGGACCAUAUCAAGGGUUGCAGCAAGUUAAACCGCAAGUUUAUGAAGUUUGGCAUGACGUCCAGCAAGCCAAUCCUCCAAAAAUUGUGCAUGUACAACAGUUGAAAUGUUUUAUACAAAGAAAUCAGGAACAAUUGGUACAUGUUCCUCCAAAUCCUGGCCCACUACAAAAGAACCUUGAUAGUCUUCUAUUAUUUCAAGAGGAAGGGAUAAUAUGAAAUUCAAAUGUACGGUUACGAUGCCAUAUACUAAUAUUAACAUAAUGGGAUUUUGGUAGCUAUUAGAUUAGUUUUAAUCCAGACCAUUCGCUCUAGUAUAUAAGCUAGGGUUUUUAGGCUAAUUGAUAUGCACAUUUUUUGUAUUCUCUUUCCAUAUUCCAUGCACUCACAAGUUAAGAAUUAAAAUAAUUAAAAUAUAUAAUUAUUUAUAAUUAAUUUAUUCAUUUUAAUUUAAAUUAUAACUUUGAGUUUGAGGUGUAUAACUAUAGUUUAAUAUACUAUUAUUAGCAUAAUGGAAUUUUAUAGCCUUUACUUGCUUCUAUAUAUAAGAUAGAGUUUUGUAUUAUUUUAAUAUGUACAAAUGAGUAGUAGUUAUGAUUGUGUUUAAAUAUAUAUACUUAGUUUAGAUAAAUUUAAUUAGCUUUUUUCAAAUUUUUUAUUUUAUUUUCUUCUUUAUUUUAUUUAACAGUAUACUCCUCCUUUCUUCUCCUCCUCUAGUUUUAAAGUAGCAAUUGAUAUGUGUUUGUCACUAAAUAAUUAGACUCAUUUGAAUAUAAUGUUCAUGGCAUAUAAUGUACCAAAUUUCUUCCAUGGAAAUCCUAAUUAUUAAUUUAGUCAUUUUGUGAUAAUUGACACCUAUCAUUUUCAGGAUACUACUUAGUGUUUACAUAAGUUUUUCAUAUAUUUCCAAGGGAUAACAUUGUAGUACUUUUGCAAAUUUGAGCCUUCUCCCAAAUGUCUUCAAGUGCGCAUUUAAACAUGCCAAUGACUAUGACAAUGCAUACUUUUGGCUUCAUGGUUCACUGCUAGAAUCCCAACCCAGCUAAAUCAAGCUUCUCCACUGGCACUUGGGUCCUGCCCUGAGCCUUAAAGUGACAAGAACUUGACAAGUUAGAACCAGAACUAAAGAAAUUCUUGGCAACUGUCAUGAAUAUGAAAAGCAACCAAGAUUAGUAUGAAAAUCUGUAACAUAAUCCUAUGAGCCAAGAAAGAAAAAUCAAAGAAGAACUCUAGAUUGAUGCCAAAUAAUGGAGACAAGUCUUUUUGAGCCACUACAGUUAAUUAGCUAUAGAAAUAUGCUAAGGGGAGGAUAUGCACCAAGAGGUUUAGCAAAUCACUGGGAUGAACAUGUUUCACAAACAUACAGACCAUAUUUCUAGACUUUUUUGGCAUGGACUCAAACCCACUUUCACCCUCUAGGCAUGACUACAUACUAGUCUUAUGAGUAUUGUGACAGUGUCCAUUUGUAAACCAGCCCUUGUAAGCUAGAUGAUGUCUAGCUUGAUGGUGCGGCAACUAAGGUAACACCAUCUGGAGCACACCACGCUGUUGUAUUAAUGCUGAAAAAGAGACACCAUAGUUGAACACAUCCAAUCCAAGGCUACUGAACUCUCUCCAUUUUCCAUGUAUCAUUUUGACGUUGAAAGCGUAUACAUUUCCAACGACGUAUUCCCCACAAAAUGUGCUUAUCUGGAGGCAAAGUCCUCUUUUCUCUGUCCAUGUUAUUGAAUAAGUGCAGAGCCACCAAACCAAGCAUUUAGAUGUUUCACGAUACAGCACUUCAUUGUGUCUCGCCGUAGCAUGUCUUGUGUGGGAAGAAUUUUACCUAUAGUCACAACUUGGAGCGGGAGCGAGUAACUUGGAGCAGAUCCUUGCAAAGAAUUUUCCCUGUUGCUGACUUUGGAAUCGAGGGUACGAAAGUCACUGCCCGGAUCCUCUUAUAAGAAGCGACCUGGGAUGAAAAGGCAAGAAUAAAGAUCACUGGAGAAAGAAACUGUGCUUUUUACCUGUCUCGCAAUGAAAUCCAUAACUUCGUCUUUCGAGAGCGAUUUUCCUUCUUCGCCGGAUCCACGAACAACGCAGGCGAGAGGAAUCUCACCAGCAUCAUCAUCCGGGUACCUGGAAGAAUAUUUAAAACACGACGUUGGCAAAAGAUAAAUGUGGUGUCUGCUUACGGAAUAACGGCUGCGUCGGCAAUGCCUGGAUGAGCGAGAAGAAGAGCUUCCAGUUCCGCAGGAGCAACCCUUUGUACUUGAUGAGUUCCUUGAGCCUGUCGACGAUGAAGAGAAAGCCAUCGUCGUCGAAGUAGCCAAUGUCUCCGGUGUGGAGCCAGCCCUCUGGAUCGAUGGUGGCGGCGGUGGCGGCAGGAUUGUUGAGGUAGCUUUGCAUGAUGCAAGGGCCUCGCAGACAGACCUCGCCUCGAGAGUAUGGAGGCAGUGUCUUUCCCGCAUCCACGUCCAUGACUUUGGCUUCGUGGUUCGCUGCUAGAAGCCCGGCCGAGCCGAAUGGAGCUUCUCCAGCACCAAGACCAGUUGUCUCAGUCAUGCCGUAAGCCUUGAGUGACAAGAACUUGAAAGUUAGAACCAAAACCAAAGAAAAUUCCGGGACAACUCUGAUGAAAGUCAUGCAAAAGUUCUAAGAACCAAAGAAAUUCUCCGAUGAACAUGAAAAGCUAACCAAAAUCAUGCAAAAGGUCUAUGAGCCAAGCAAGGAAAAUCGAACAAGAAGACCGUGAAGAACUAAGAGCGUACCUGACUAAACUCUUGGAUUUGUGGAAACUUUGCUAGAAAUGCUUCCAAAGUCUCCUUGGCCAGUGGAGCAGCGCCCGACCCGGCCUUCCUCAAAGAAGAUAGAUCGUAGUUUCCCACCGCUGGGUGCUUGAGGAGCGCGACCACGAUCGGCGGCACCAUGGGCAGAUUGGUGAUCUUGAAUCGCUGGAUGCACUGGAGCAUGUGGAGGAGGUCGAAUUUCCUGACCACCACCAUCGUCACGGCGAGAUAGAUCAUCAUGCAGCCGCUAUAGAUGAGCCCGGCGAUGUGGAAGAGCGGCAAAAGGAUGAAGGUCACAACCUUGUCAUCGUUGUCCCUGGGCUUAGAGGCGAGGAUCGAGACCGCGGCGAUGAGAUUUCCAUGAGAGAGCACCACGCCUUUGCUCGGCCCCGUGGUCCCCGACGAGUAGAGCAGCGCCGCUGGAUCGCCCUGCCGGAUUCUCACCGCGCUAGGGAAUUUGCUCUCAUCCACGGCAAGGAGGCUCUCGAAUCGCACGAAGCGUGGAUGAUCCCGGAAGAAUUUGGCGCCGACAUUCUCCCCGUCGAGGAUCACCGUGGGGAAACCCUGCCCGUUCUUCCCGAUCUUGGCGACCAGGUCCGGCAUCGUCACGACAAAUCCCGCCCUGGAAUCUCGCAUCUGGCGCUCGAUCUCGGCAGCGGUGUUGGCCGGAUUGGCCGUGGUCGCGACGGCGCCGAUGGAGAGAACGGCGGCGAAGAGGAUCGGGAAAUACACCGUGUUGCCGAGCAACAGGAGGACGACAUCACCUUGGGAGACUCCGAGAAUCGAUGAGAGGCCCGACGCCACGGAUUUGGCGAGGCGCUGGAAAUCGCCGCAGUGGAUCGUGAAGCCGGUGGUGGAAUCGACGAGCAGCGGAGACGAGGAGUUGGAUGGAUCGGCGAGAGGGCCCGAGAAGAGCAAUGCUGGGAGGUUGUGAUGCGUCUGGAGUGGAAUCGGGACUGGAGGGAACAAGCUGCGAUAGAUCCCGUCCUCUCCAUGGCCGCCUUUUGCUGGAUUCACCUCUGCCAUAACCAUAGCCGGGAAAAUAGGGAUUAUGGAGCUGGUACGGCUCAAGCUCGCGCUGUGGCGCUGUUCUCGCGCGAUCGGCAAGAACGCGAGCGCAAGAGAUCAUCUUGCAUUUUGUUUUGGUGUCUAGAAGAUUUCAAGCUGUGAUCUUUUGCGCUUGCCCUUCCUACGCGUCUUCAAGAUCUUGGAUGAUUGUCGCUUGCAUCGCGUUUGUGAUGUGGAUCUGACGACGGAGUUCCAUGCAUGUUAUGUACUCGACGAGAUGCGAGGUGGCGGCCUUUUUUGCGAGGAUGGCACGUUUCUUUGGUUCAGUCAAUCGGAACUCCGCUUAGGCAGGGCAAGUCUUGAGGGGGUGUGUGUCACUGUUUCUAUCUCUGUGGCACAAACCAAACCGGGUAUUGCGGGAGCUUGUCGCGCCGUCCCAGCUUGACCAGGACGUUGUGGGCCACAGUUGACGUAGAAAGUUGAUCGUAGAUAUCUGGGCCAAAUAUCGCUGUUGGAUCGUGGUAUUUUGUGAGGUGUUCCCUUCGCUGGAUCCAGGCUGCGAGGAACCAUAGCUCCAGUUCUUCUUCAAGGGCUUUGGAGGUAUUCCUUGGAGGUCCAGGAUGAAGCUUGUCGUCCACCUGUCCACUGCGUGCCACCAUCCCUUGCCCUGUUGUUGUGUGAGUUGUUGAGAGUCGAUGAUUGCUUGGUCCGCGAGCUUGCCAUGCGGGAGAAAAUGGCUCUUACGUAGAUAUUGGAUCAUUUGUCACCAUGCCAUGUUCUCGAGGGGGAGGAGGCCAGCCUCCAUGAACAUAAUUGGGAGUGCUACGUUUGUUGAGAUACCAAGCUCGUCGGAGGUGAAAGUCGUGGCAAUAGUUUCCAUCUGAGCCCACUGCUUCUGUCGCCCUUGAGCUGCUCAUGAAAAUGAUAUAAAAGUGUCUGUUCCCAUAACUUAAUGUGUGCCUCAGCACCAUACAAGGCCACUGUGGUGAUUUGUUUUGAAAAAAUAAAUCUUCACGUCCCAGCAGGUCAUCCGUGCUCUUUGACAGUCGAAUUGCAUGGCUCUCUUUGCAGUUCGCCUAUGUGCUUGGAUGCUUUGGUUAUGUGAAUAAUAUGUACUCAUCCACUGCUUCAAUUUUCUUGCCAUCGUACCAGAAUUUGCUUGUCUGGUCUGGGCAAAGACCAUUACCUUUGUCUUUCCAAGGUUGAUUCGCAGGCAGAAACGGUAAAGUGUGUCCAGAGCUGGCUUGCGGUUUGUUAUGAAAUGGGGACACCCAGCCUUGUGAGCGCAGCAGCGCUCCAUGCUGGGUCCACCUUUAUUGCGGAAGACGGAUCAAGAACAGAAUGUGUCAGGCGUGAUCACCUACAGAACCUAAACGGAUGUGUCCCUUCUGCUGACGUGGCAUCCCAGCUUGAGAUUGCGGCUUAAGUCCUCAACACUCCCACUCGAGCUAAGCUGGGAUCAGCCUCGAGCAACUGCACACCAAGAGCUUGGACAUGCUUGGAGAAUGCAGCUAGGGGCAGAGCUUUUGUGAAAACAUCUGCCACCUGAUCUCCCGUCGCACAAUACACUAGCUCCAUUGUCUCCAUGGCAACCUGCUCACGAAUAAAAUGAAACUGUACCUGUAUGUGCUUGGUACUCCGUGAUACUGCUCCCACUGCAUAGGCUAUGUCUGGCCUCGUACACACCAUCAGGUACACUAAACUUCCCACCAUCUGCCUAUAUGGGAUCCGCUUCAUAUGUUCCUCCAUAGGUGUGGUUGCUGGGUUCAGCUCACUGAGUUGAAACCUCUGAAGCACGUCCAGAAUGUACUUCUUCUGAGACAUCUGAAUCACUCCCUUCCUCCUGUCUCGGAAGAUCUGAAUGCCAAGGCAGUAGUGAAGAGGUCCCAUGUCAACCAUCUUGAAUCGGCACCCCAAAUCCAGCUUCAACUGCUUCAUGGUAGCACCUUCACUUGAGAAAAGGAUGCAGUCAUCCACAUAGAGAGCUAUCAUGGCUCGAAAUUCUCCCACUCACUUCAAGUACACGUUACUGUCAGCUGAAGUCUUGGAGAACCCCAAACCCAAGAGAUAAGCGUCCAUUUUCUCGUACCAGGCCCUGGGUGCUUGUUUAAGGCCAUAUAAAGCCUUCUUCAACCGGCACACUAAAUGUUCCUUCCCUGGAACAACAAAGCCCUCUGGUUGCGAGAUAAAGACCUCCUCAUGUAGAUCUCCAUUCAGAAAAGCUGUGGUGACGUCCAUCUGCUCGACUUCCAAGUUUUCUUGAGCAGCAAUGUUCAGCAACAUCCUGAUCGAUGCAUGUUUCACCACUGGUGAAAAUGUUUCUGCAAAGUCCACUCCUUCUACUUGAGAAAAUCCUCGAGCUACAAAUCUGGCCUUGUAACGAUCAAUAGAGCCAUCUGGCUUAUACUUGAUCCGGAACAGCCACUUUGUACUCACGAUUCUUCUGCCUGUAGGAAGCUCCACCAAGUCCCACGUUUCAUUUUCCAUCAGAGAUUGAUACUCUAGGAAAAUUGCAUGCUGCCACUCUGCUGCAUUUGGACCAGCCAAGGCUUCUUGCAAGGUCUUGGGUACUGUGGCUUCUGCUUGGUGAAAGAGUGCUAGAAAGUCGAGUUCCAUGUCCUCAGAAGGAACUUCCUCCUGCUGCUGGGACGGUGAGCUUGCAGCAUAAUAAAAUGCUGCUGAGGUUACUGGAGGUGGCUCAGAUGCACUGCGAUCACGAGCUGCUCUGGCUUCAACUCUAGAAGCCUCAAGAGCCUGCUUUAAUGCCACAUCCUCUCUGUACUGCUGUCCUUGUUCAGUCAAGACACGAACACGACUGGAUCUACGAGGUGCUGCUGCUUCCUGCUGCUGGCUGCUUUCCUGCUGCUGGCUGCUCUCACUAGAGCUGCCUUCCUCGAAAUUGAGAGAAGGUGAGAGAUCUGAGACACUCCUUGGAAGAGUUCGGCCUGCCCUGGGAGGAACUUGAGCCACGACUCCACCUCCACCUGUAGCUGCUCCGCCUGAGUGUGCACGCUGCCGUCGAGAGGCAUCUUCCUCCUCGCUGUCGCUAUCCUCAAUUAGGGUUUGCUCACCACUAAUGAGUAACGGCAUCUGCUGCGAGGUGGUUGCUAGCUGGUUCUUGGUGUUGUACAUCUUAGACUCGUCGAAGAUGACAUUCCUGCUCGUGAUCACCUUCCUGGUGUUCAGGUUGAAGAGCUUGUAACCCUUCAUCUUGCUGGCAUAGCCAAGGAGAAUGCACUUCUCACUUCUACUGUCCAGCUUCUUGGGCUCGUCCUUGAGUGCAUAAGCUACACACCCAAAGAUCCUGAGAUGGCUCACGUCUGGUGCCUUCCCAUACCACACCUCAUAAGGUGUUCGUCCCUUGACAGCAGAAGUAAUCAGCCUAUUCCUCAAGUAGGCUGCUGUCUUCACAGCAUCACACCAAAAGAAAUUUGGCAUGCCUGUCUUGCAAGAUCGCUCGUGCCAUCUCCACAAGAGUUCGGUUCAUCCUCUCAGCCACGCCAUUUUGCUCAGGAGUUGAAGGCACUGAAAGUUGCCGCUUAAUUCCAGCUUGCUCACAGAACUCCUUAAAGGCGUUAGAGGUGAACUCUCCACCACCAUCACUUCUCAGCAUCUUGAUUUUUCUGCUUGUCUCAAGCUCCGCUUGCAGCUUGUAGACCUUGAAAGCUUCAAAGGCCUCUGACUUGUGCAGCAAAAACUUCACUGCUACCAUCCUUGAAAAAUCGUCGAUGAAUGUGACAAAGUAUUUCUUCUUUGUCCUUGACAUGGUCUGCAUUGGGCCACAUAGAUCAGAGUGUACCAGCUCCAGGACAUCCUUCCCUCUUUCACUUACACCUGAGCGAAAUGGAAGGCGAUGCUGCUUACUGAGGACACAAGGCUCACAAAAUCCAGCUGAUGAUGGAGCAAUGUUCAGUCCUCGGACAAGUUGUCCUCUUGCUAGCUGCUGUACUCUCUUGAUGGAAGAGUGGCCUAAUCUUCUGUGCCAAGUGUCUAGUGUAGCUGGUUUGUCUUCCACGCUGCUACUGAGCAUUAACCUCUCAGGAUACACCACUUCAGCAUUCAGGCAUGUCGGCGUCCCGAUGCUAGCUCAUAGCCUUCUCGUGAGAUGGUGCACCUUUUCUCGUUAAAGUCAAUCUUGCAGCUUGCGUCUGCUAUCUUCCCCACUGAGAAAAGAGUCUUCUUGACACCAGGCACAUAGUAGACAUUGCUCACGUCCACUUUCUGACCAUUGGCAAGUUUCACCUUGAUUGUCCCAACUCCUUGCACACUGUGCGAGUAAUCGUCACCAAGGUAAAUCCUCUUGUCGUCUGGAACUGGUCUCAGCUUGCCAAACAGCUCUCUGAUGUAUGUCAUGUGCCUGUUUGCUCCUGAGUCCACCCAGAUUACUUCUGCUUUCAACAGACCAUGUUUUGUCACCUGCUGAUCCUCUAACGAAGCCAUGAACAGACUGCCAUGCUCGUCAUCUGAAUCAGCUGCUGCAAAGUUAGCCACUUGCUUGCCUUUGUCUCGCUUUCUAGCUUCCUUGGCUUUCUUUGCUUCUUCAUUGGUGCAGUCUCUUGCCCAAUGACCAGGUUUCUUGCAAAUGUUGCAAAGGCCGUCGUUUUUCUUCUUCUUCUUCUUGGACUUGCUCCCACUGGUUCCAUCAGUCCCUGGAGAAUUCACUGGGCCCAACCUGUCCCACACUGUUGCAGAUCGCUUGCCCUUUGAAGAUUGACCAGCAAAUAGCGCUUGAUCUUGAGAUCCAACUCCCUCAUUGGUCUCCAUCAAGUUCUCUGCUGACUUCAACUGAAGGACCAUUUCGUCAAAUUUCUUUGACGAGUGAGUAGUCGCUGUUGUCAGAAGAUACUUCGCCACGCCUUUGAUGACAACCGACUUGAGCUUCGGUUCACUCACUGGUGUCUUCGUGAUGCGUGCGAUCUGGCUUGCUACCUUCCUCAACCUUCCAACAAAGGCUUGAAUGGACUCACCUUCAUGCUGUCUUACAGAACCGAGUUCUGUCUCUAAGUCCAGCAAUGUGGUCUCAUUCUCCUUUCCGAGGGUUGCUUUCAGGUUUUCCCAGUUCUCGUGCGCAGUCUUCGUGAUGUCGAGAUGGCAACUGAACACCUUGGCCUCUGCCUAGAAUGCCCAAGGCCUUGAUGUUCUUUCCAUCCCACUCUUUGCGGUCAGCCUUGUCCGUUGUGGGAGGGCGCGUCCAGGAACCGUCGACCACUGGCCACAGCUCCUUCUACUCGAGUUGCUCCUGCCAUCCGCUGAAAUCCUUGCCAUCAAAGAUCUCUAUGGCGUCGCGCACACUCCCCAUCUUCAGGAUCGUUCUUCACACGCGCUCUGAUACCAUGUUAUGAAAUGGGGACACCCAGCCUUGUGAGCGCAGCAGCGCUCCAUGCUGGGUCCACCUUUAUUGCGGAAGACGGAUCAAGAACAGAAUGUGUCAGGCGUGAUCACCUACAGAACCUAAACGGAUGUGUCCCUUCUGCUGACGUGGCAUCCCAGCUUGAGAUUGCGGCUUAAGUCCUCAACAGUUCUUGCUAGCAGCAUCCUGUCACCGGCGUAUAGCAGGAGGUAGAGUAGCAUGCUAGCGAGUUGGAUGGUUGAAAGCUCUUCAUCGCUAUCCUCCAUCAGCUUUUCCAAACCAUCCAUGAAUAUGCCAAAAAAAAAGUGUGGGUGAACUUCAGUGUGACAUGAGAUUUGCGCUUGGCCUUGGACGUCGGCUUUGACAUUCGUAUAGAGCUGUUGUAUGACUUUGAUCAGCGUGCAGGGGGACUGAAGCUCGACGAGGUGUUGGAAGAGCUUUGUUCGUAGCACCAUGUCGAAGGCUUUGGUGAUGUCGACAAAGCAACUGUACACCGCUCCAUUUCUCCAACUUCAGCCUGUCCAUCAUGAUCCGGAGAGUCACGAAGUGGUUGAUACAGGAAAAGUGUGGGCGAAAUCCUGCAUGGCCUGCCUUCUUGCUCCACUGGACGAGGUGUUUCUCCAUGAGCCGUGCAAAGAGCUUAGUGAAGAUUGUUGACACCAUGGUCGUUCCGUAGUUUCCAGGCUGUGUUGGAUCCCCUUGUUUGUAGAUCGGGAUGUCAUGAUUCACAUUCCAGCUCGUUGGGAAGCCAUCAUGGAUGAUGUUGUUGAAGAUUGAAACUUCAACCGGGAACAAGCCCAACAAGUCUGACACAACCCACACCAAGCAUACAAAAUCUUCAAGAAGAAGAAAGUGCCAGUCCUUGUUGACAAAGUAGAGAUCUAGAUCCAACACAUUCAACAAACUUAGGAAUCUGCCAGCAGAGGAAUGUGACAUCCCACUAGCCUACUACAGACAAAUCAAAGAAGUGAUCAACACCUGCAAGGACCCUCAUGAGGCAUUGCAUAUUCAGCGUUUGGAGGAGUUUCGCUGUGAAGCCUUUUUGCUGCGGCAGAUGGUUGAUUGCUUCUUUGAUUUGUUCCUAAGUAGAAGGUCAGUGGGAUGUCAUAUUGGAUCUCCUCUACUGGCAUAUUAGUUCGUACAGUUGUUGAAUGCAAAUCUCUACUUCAUCAAUGAGGACUGGUGCUCUUUUCUUUUCAAAAAUUUUAUAUGCAUGAUGUGGGUCGUGUCAAACUUGCCAAGCUUGUUCCUGGUUGAAAUUUCGAUCAUGCUAGUGUCAGGGUGCUCUUGCCACCUUUUGGAAUUGUGGGUGGGGGUGGUCAGCGUCUGGGUGGCAGUCUCGUUUUGCUCUUUUGUAUGCUUUGUGGAGUUUUGUACAGUGCAUUUCUUGACUGGCAAUCCCUUCGUCUGCCAGUCAGGUUUGAGAUAUAGGUCCUCGUCCUGGUGUUGUUUGAUGGCUGCACUAUGCCUCCAUGUCCUAGUCCCAUGGAAGUUGCUUUCCAGUUCCAUGCACUGUGUGUGUGGAAGCUUGGGAGGUCAGGGACCCUGCUCUGCUGGUGUUCCCACGUUUCAACCAGUGCGAUGAUGUCAAAAUGCCCAUAUUCCGCUAGACCCAGUCCACAGUCGUCCAAAUUUGCAACCUUGAUGAUGUCCUGCUUGAUGGCGCAGCAACUAAGGUAACACCAUCACCACGCCGUUGUAUUAUUGUUGAAAAGGAGACACCAUAGUUGAACACAUCCAAUCCAAGGCUACUGAACUCUCUCCAUUUUCCCGAUGUUGAAAAAAUGUAGGAUCUACAAUACAUUUCCAACAACGCAUUCGCCACAAAAUGUGCCUAUCUCGAGGCAAAGUCCUCUUUUCUCUGUCCAUGUUAUUGAAUAAGUGCAGAGCCACCAAACUCUCUCCAUUCAUGAUACAGCGCUUCAUUGUGGCUUGCCUAUGAAUAGUCGAUCAGGCCCACUUUCUUUCUACGUAUGCUGAGAGGUCUUUUCCACGCGUGAAGGGAAAAGAAUUUUACCUAUAGUCACAACUUGGAGCGGGAGCGAGUAACUUGGAGUAAAUCCUUGCGAAGAAUUUUCCCUGUUGCUGACUUUGGAAUCGAGGGUACAAAAGUCACUGCCCGGAUCCUCUUAUGAGAAGCGACCUGGGAUAGAAAAACAAGAUCACUGGAGAAGGGAAACUGUGCUUUUUACCUGUCUCGCAAUGAAAUCCAUAACUUCGUCUUUCGAGAGCGAUUUUCCCGCUUCGCCGGAUCCACGAACAACACAGGCGAGAGGAAUCUCACCAGCAUCAUCAUCCGGGUACCUGGAAGAAUAUUUAAAACACGAUGUUGACAAAAGAUAAAGGUAGAAAAUGGUGGUGGGCUUACGGGAUCACGGCUGCGUCGGCAAUGCCUGGAUGAGCGAGAAGAAGAGCUUCCAGUUCCGCAGGAGCAACCUGGAAGCCUUUGUACUUGAUGAGUUCCUUGAGCCUGUCGACGAUGAAGAGGAAGCCAUCGUCGUCGAAGUAGCCAAUGUCUCCGGUGUGGAGCCAGCCCUCUGGAUCGAUGGUGGCGGCGGUGGCGGCAGGAUUGUUGAGGUAGCUUUGCAUGAUGCAAGGGCCUCGCAGCCAGAGCUCGCCUCGAGAGUGUGGAGGCAGUGGCUUGCCCGUAUCCACGUUCGUGACUUUGGCUUCGUGGUUCGCUGUUAGAAGCCCGGCCGAGCCGAAUGGAGCUUCUCCACUGGCACCAAGACCAGUUGUCUCAGUCAUGCCGUAAGCCUUGAGUGACAAGAACUUGAAAGUUAGAGCCAAAACCAAAGAAAAUUCCUGGACAACUCUGAUGAAAGUCAUGCAAAAGUUCUAAGAACCAAAGAAAUUCUUGGACAACUCUGAUAAACACGAAAAGCGAACCAAAAUCAUGCAAAAGUUCUGAGCCAAGCAAGGAAAAUCGAACAAGAAAACCGUGAAGAACGAAGAACAUACCUGACUAAACUCUUGGAUUUGUGGAAACUUUGCUAGAAAUGCUUCCAAAGUUUCCUUGGCCAGUGGAGCAGCGCCCGAUGCGGCUCUCUUCAGAGAAGAUAGAUCGUAGCUUUCCACCGCUGGGUGCUUGAGGAGCGCGACCACGAUCGGCGGCACCAUGGGCAGACUGGUGAUCUUAAAUCGCUGGAUGCACUGGAGCAUGUGGAGGAGGUCGAAUUUCCUGACCACCACCAUCGUCGCGGCGAGAUAGAUCAUCAUGCAGCCGCUAUAGAUGAGCCCGGCGAUGUGGAAGAGCGGCAAAAGGAUGAAGGUCACGACCUUGUCAUCGUUGUCAUUGGGCUUAGAGGCGAGGAUCGAGACCGCGGCGAUGAGAUUUCCAUGAGAGAGCAGCACGCCUUUGCUCGGCCCCGUGGUCCCCGACGAGUAGAGCAGCGCCGCUGGAUCGCCCUGCCGGAUUCUCACCGCGCUAGGGAAUUUGCUCUCAUCCACGGCGAGGAGGCUCUCGAAUCGCACGAAGCGUGGAUGAUCCUGGAAGAAUUUGGCGCCGGCAUUCUCCCCGUCGAGGAUCACCGUAGGGAAACCCUGCCCGUUCUUGCCGAUCUUGGCGACCAGGUCCGGCAUCGUCACGACAAAUCCCGCCCUGGAAUCUCGCAGCUGGCGCUCGAUUUCGGCAGCGGUGUUGGCCGGAUUGGCCGUGGUCGCGACGGCGCCGAUGGAGAGAAUGGCAGCGAAGAGGAUCGGGAAAUACACCGUGUUGCCGAGCAACAGGAGGACGACAUCACCUUGGGAGACUCCGACAAUCGAUGAGAGGCCCGACGCCACGGAUUUGGCGAGGCGCUGGAAAUCGCCGCAGUGGAUCGUGAAGCCGGUGGUGGAAUCGACGAGCAGCGGCGACGACGAGUUGGAUGGAUCGGCUAGAGGCCCCGAGAAGAGCAAUGCGGGGAGGCUGUGAUGCGUUUGGAGAGGAAUCGGGACUGGAGGGAACAAGCUGCGAUAGAUCCCGUCCUCUCCAUAGCCGCCUUUUACCUCCGCCAUAGCCAUAGCCGGGAAAAUAUGAUAUGAACUCUAGGUUAGGGUUUUAGCGCAGGGAUUGUGUCUGGAAGGAGUGAUGGCGGCUCAAGCUCGCGCUGUGGCGCUGUGCUCGCGCGAUCGGCAAGAACGCGAGCGCAAGAGAUCAUCUCAACAGGUACUUGCAUUUUCUUUUGGUGUCUAGAAGAUUUCAAACUGUUCCAUCAGCUACCAGCGGAUCUCGUACCGCGAGCGAUGGCGAGAGAGUGUCUUCGAGCUCGCGCUGUGACGAUUGUCGGCAAGAACGCGAGAGAAAGAGAUAAUCUCACAGGUGCUUGGGCCAGGCUUGUAUUUUUCUUUGGUGCUAUUUUGCUUGUCUUAGAAGAAGUCAAGCUGUUCUAUCAGCCGUGGCGUGGACUAGCGAAUCUCGUGGAAGAAAAAGGCCGUAGGUCUGUCAAGAGUUAUUUUUUUCUCUUUGUCGAGCCAAGAUCUAAUUGGCAUAUCUUUGAUUGUCUGUUUUCUUUGCACGAGCUUGGCGGACGCAUGAAGAUAGGUAUGAUUUUUUCGUUUUGGCACUUCAUAAGUUCGUCGUUUCGUGAUUUCAGUAAUUUAACUUCUGUGUCAGAUAGAGCUCCCAAAUUCUAUCGAGCUGCAAACUUUGAUUAAGCAAAAGAGAAAGAGGCCGAAUGGACCUGGGAAAAUAAAGAAAGGCAUCGCGAUCGUGCCACACCUGUCGUUUGCCAGAGAAAGACGGGGAGAUAUGAGAGGAAAAAACUUUUUUGCGGCAUUAACAUCUUCUACCAAACGAGACGCUGUCCAGACCCACUUUUGACAAAUUUCGGAAAGUCAGCCGAGACACGGCUAGCACUCAAUGGUGCUCCGCAAAGAUAUGGUUGCAGAAAUUAUCCAGGUACGAGCGCGCACUCCCUCUAUCAACUUGAGAGGAAUUUCCUGCUUAAAUCUUGCUCACCCAUGUUUUUUUUCUCUCCAGACAAUCCGAGUUUGUUGAUCCGAAGUUCUAUCCCAGCGGGUCUCUUUAGAGGAAGGAAGAAAGAAGAGCGAAAGAAGAAUGGUACGAUUCCCUCCACCAGCAGCAGCAGCAGCAGCAGCAUAUCUUCUGUUUCUAUUCACUACCAGUAGCUUUGUUCUCGGCAAAAGGUAUGAGCUAUCGCCCGGCUGGACUGCUGUGAACAACGAGAGCUUGAAAGGGGCUGGAAGCGAUGGCGGUUCUAGCUAUCGGAUUUUAAGAGCUGGGGAGGAUCCUAUAGUCAGUGACAAUGGAAGCUUUAGCUUGGCCUUCUACGACCCCCAGGGAACGAACAGAUACUUCCUGUGUGUGCUGCUAAACGUUGGGAAAUCCAAGCCAGCUCCAGCCUCUCUCGUGGUUCCAAUCUGGAUUGCAAACUCCAACUCGUCAUUCUCCGGCAAGGCAACUCUGAUGCUCACAGGAACACACAAAAAGUUCAUACUUCUCGACUCCACCGGGACUUUGAAGUGGAGUAGCGGUAGCGUGGUCGGAAUCUCCAGCUUGGAGCUCGAUGAGACAGGGAACCUGAUGCUGAUCAGCGAAGAUGGCAGCGUUCUCUGGCAGAGCUUCGAGCACCCGACGAAUGUUCUCGUUCCAGGACAGACUUUGCGGCCGGGAAUGUCGAUCACAAGCGUCAACUCGAGCUCCCAGCAGCCGGGACCGUUUAGAGGCACUAUGGAAGCGAGUGGCUUCGUGUUCUACGUUCUUCCAGAGACGGAGCCGACCAUGGCCGAUAUGCUUCGCAAGCCGCAGCCGUAUCAGGUGUGGAGCGUCGGUUCUAGCAGCAGCAGCCUCGAAUCCGCCUUGAAAGUUUGCGACUCUUCCAAGGCGGUGAUGGCCGUGACAAGCAGCGGCAUCGUGAUCUCCUACGAGCGUUCCAGCAGCGGCGAGUGUGGCGGCGAUGGGAAAUCCUUACAGGUGUAUAGAAACGACGAGGAUACAGCAGCGGAGAGCCAGUACUGGAAGCUCGAGGAAAAUGGCGACUUUGUUCUUCGCGGGUUCCACGAGCGGGAGCAAAACUGGGCGACGGUGUUCGCUCUCUCGACCCGGGCCAACGAUUCGUGCAAGCACCCGACCGCGUGUGGGAGCUACGGGCUUUGCAACAGCCAGGGGAAAUGCCAGUGCGUGGGAAACGAAGAACUGGACGAUCACACCUCGCACUCUUGCGGCGCUCCGUCCGGCGUCUCGGCCUCUUGCCUCGCGAACGAGGCCGCGAACCACCACUUCGUGAAGAUCCCCUCCGCGACUUACUUCUCCAACGCGUUCUCCCGGCCGGAUCUCCGCAGCUCGUCGCUGGAGGAUUGCUCCGCCGCGUGCGCGUCCAAUUGCUCCUGCGCCGCCGCGUUCUUCAGCCGGAGCGGCGGCGGCGAUUGCUUCCUGGUGGACGAGGUCAUGGGCAGCUUGAGCUUGGUUGGGGGCGGCGCUGGAGCGGAGGAGGGGGAUUACACGGCGCUGGUGAAGAUCCAAAACGCGCAGCUCAUCUCGGCGCCACUGUCCGCUAGCCGGGGGAAGGGGACGAGCAAAUCCGCGCGGACUGCCAUCAUCUUCCUGGCGGUGCUGUGCGGUGUUCUAGCGGUGAUGCUGGCGGCGGGCGGCUACAUUAUCAAGAUCAAAUAUCCCCACGCUUACAACAAGAUGAUGAGGAGGUCGUGAUCGACGUGAUUUUCAAAUUUAAAUGUCAGAAUAUGCUCUAGGGGUUUGAGGUGGCAGUCACAAGCUGACAUGUCUGAUGACGGCACGAGUUUGUGUUGUUGUGUUGUGACUGCCACGUCAAGCCCUAGACACAGGUGGCAAUAAUGCAUAGUGCCAGAUGACAUGGCACGAGUGACGUGGCAUUCUUUAUUACUUGCAGUUCCCGCCGACCUGUGCUUCAAAGGUACUGUGAUCAAUGAAUGCCAAAAUCGAGGGAGUGAAUGCCCUGGCUAUUAGGUUAACCAGUCUAGAUAGAUCCAUUGUUGGAUUGGAGGGCGGAAGAAGCCAGCAAUGCCGCCACCGAUUGCGAGUAGAAAUCUCCAUUCCAUCUCCGCGAUUCUCCUCCUGCUCUUGGCCGGGCUCACAGGAUCGCGGCGAGCAGCGAAUGCGAAGAGGUAUGAUCUUCCUCCGGGCUGGAUGGGGAACAACACCCGGGGCGCGCUCACUGAGAUCCGUCUCUCGGAUGGUUCUUUCUAUCGGAUCCUCAAGGCGCCAAUUAUCGGCGGGCAAAGGCAUGAUCUAGAGGAUGUUACCAGCGACAAUGGCACAUUUGCCCUAGCCUUCUUCCAUCUCCACGGUGGCUUCUAUCUCGCGGUGGUGCUCCAGGCCCCUGGCCAUGGCGAGAUCUCUUCUUCGUCUUCCUCUAGCAGUGCCAUUCCUGUGUGGAUUGCGAACAGGGGUGGCGCCGUGGAUGACAAUGCGACGCUGCUGCUCACUCCCCAGAACGGCAAGAUCAUCCUCCUCGAUUCCUCUCAUAACUUCCGGUGGGGGCCAAAUUCGGAGGCGAUCGCGGGCGUGGAGCUCUUGGAGUCCGGGAAUUUAGGGUUCUUCACGGCGCAGGGCGCGGUGGUGUGGCAGAGCUUCGAGCUCCCGCAGGAGGUGAUCCUUCCCGGCCAGGCUCUCAAGCCGGGAAUGCAGCUCACAAGCAGCGGCACGAAUCGAUCCAGCCUCUACAGGGCCCAGGUCCGCGGCGAUGGAUUGGUCUUGAGCGCUGGAGAUCCCAAGAUGAUCGUCCCACAGCCCUACUUCGCCUGGAGAUUGAAGGAGAAGUGUGAUGGAUCAGAAGCAGUUCUAGGAUUCACCGGCGCAGAGAUCACACUCUCCUAUCCAGGCGCUUGUCGAUCGCUUGCACUGUCCAUCCCGCUCAACACUGCCGAUCCAAUCCUUCUUCCGUUCGUGCGACUCGAUCCAGAUGGCGAUCUCGUCGCUUACAAAUUCCAUCCUCGAUCCGCGACCUGGGUGCCCGGAUUCCAGCUCUCGGCUCUCCAGCCCGAUUCGUGCAAGCUCCCCAGCGCGUGUGGUACCUACGGCAUUUGCGAGCUCGGGGGCAAAUGCCGGUGCCUGGAAGUCCCACACCGCGGCGGCGAAAGCUACCGCGAGGGCGCGCCGUCAGCUGUACCGUGCGGUACUGCGCCGCCACUUGGCGCACCGCACGGACUACCGCAGGCCGACCAAUGCGCCGACGAAUACGUCAACCACCACUUUUUAAAUGUGAGUGGCGUGAGCUACUUCGCGGUACCGUUGGCGGUACCCGAUAUGCGCGGCGCGUCGCGCGAGAAGUGUGCCGCGGCGUGCCGCUGGAACUGUAGCUGUGCCGCGCUGUUCUUUGAUAACCGGACUGGGGAGUGUUUCUUUGUGCUGGACGAGAUCUUGGGCAGCUUGACGAUCGAUCCCGCGCGGAGCUCCAGCAUGAUCGCGAUGCUCAAGUUCUCGAACAGCCGGAUCCUCAAGGGGCCGCAGUGGGGCGCUACUUCAUCGCCGGCGGGGAUGGAGAGAGCAAAGAGGGCGAUUCUCAUCGCCGCCGUGGCUGGCGUGACAGGAUUCGCGAUGAUCUCUCUGGCGGUCUGCCUGGUGAUCGUGCUCGCGCGGCGGUCGAGAUCAUCCACCCAAGCGAAUCUGGAGGAGAUGGAGCUGGAUCUCGUCUUGAGCGGCAUCCAGGGGCUGCCACAGCGAUUCCAAUAUUCCGUUCUAGAGGCCGCGACGUGGGGAUUCUCCAGGAAGCUUGGAGCUGGAGGAUUUGGCUCGGUCUACGAGGGAUUCCUGGAGGAUGGCAAGAGAAGCAUCGCGGUGAAGAAGCUCGAGGGCGCCAGCGCGCAGGGCGCGCGGCAAUUCAUCGCCGAGGUCGCGACCAUCGGCAGCAUCAGCCACAUCAACGUCGUCAAGCUCUGUGGAUUCUGCGUGGAGGGAUGCCACCGGAUGCUCGUCUACGAGUUCAUGCCCAAUGGCUCGCUCGAUCGCUGGCUCUUCGUCUCGAAUCAAACACCGGAGCAUCCGCGAGGAGUCCUGAGCUGGGAUCGCCGGGUGGAAAUCGCGCUGGGCACUGCUCGCGGGCUGGCCUAUCUCCACGAGGAAUGCCGCGAGCCCAUAAUCCACCUGGACGUGAAGCCCCAGAAUAUCCUCCUGGAUGAACGGUUCGUGGCCAAGGUCGCGGAUUUCGGAAUGUCCAAGCUGCUGGGCGGCCGCGAUGUGAGCCACGUGGUGACGUGCGUGAGGGGGACGCCUGGAUACUUGGCCCCGGAAUGGCUGCUCCAUUCCAUCGCGACCAAGAAAUGCGAUGUCUAUAGCUUCGGCAUGGUUCUCCUGGAGAUCAUUGGCGGGCGGAAGAAUCUCGAGGUUUCCAGGAUGAACAGCGAUCUGGCGUGGUACUUCCCGGCGUGGGUCGUGAACGAGGUCCGGGAGGGGCGAUUGAUGGAGAUUGUGGACGAGAGGAUUAGGGCUCUUGUGAGCGAGAAGGCGGCGGCGCAGAUGAUCCGGAUCGCGCUGUGGUGCGUCCAGGAGAGCGCGGCGUCGCGGCCGACGAUGCCGGAGAUCGUCCAGAUGAUCGAGGGGCACAGGGAUGUGGAGGAGCCGCCCAUGGCGUUCCAUUUCGCGGUCCAGACAAUGGUGGACAUCACGGCGUCCAGGGAUUGCUUGUCCAUGGCCUAUGUCACUCCUCCCAGCUUCGAUGUCUCGAGCUUGAUCCGGUGAGAAGAUCAUCCAGUAGGGCUUACAGAAGAGGAAGAAGCAUCUUUUUUUAACACAAGAAUAUUCUCCUUGGCGCGAGUUGUAAACUCUUAGGGUUCUUCUUUGGGUUCAUUAGUAAGCCCUAGUGGAAUGGCGCUUGCGAUUUCUUCCGGCCGCGGCAAGGCGAUCCAGCUCCAGCCGGUCUCGCACAUCGCGUUCGUGGUACGUGACGCUGCUGAUUCGGCCAAUGUGCUGCUUGUGCGAUCGAUCGCUGCUGCCGAUCUGGAGCCGGGCGACUCCGAAAUCUGGGACCUUCCCUGCUUCGAUCUGCCGAGGCUCGGCAAGCGGCAGCAGCUGAGAGGCAGCAUUGAUCAUCCACAGCUCGUUUGCAGCGUGGAGGCGGCUCUUCGAGAGGCUGGAGUGAGAAAUUUUGCCAUUGAGGAGGCUAUUGAGAAGGUGAGGUCUACUUUUUCUUUGCCUUUGUUGGACUUUAGUGUUUGAUAUGUUGCGUUUUUUCUUCCUCUAGGUGCAAGCGCUGGUGCCUACGCCUUUACAUUUUGUCAGCCUUUGGAAAAUUGUUAGAGAGCCAGAUUUUGGACCCAGGGCCCCGAUACAAACCGUGGUGUUGAUCGUGGAAGCACCACGAUAUGUGUCGUCCUUGGGUGGGUUUGAUCUUUUUGUUUUUCUUUCUUUUUCUCUUCAUACGAAUGUAUCUUUCAUCCAGGUUCUUGUGAGUGGUUUGAUCCUCAGAGAGCGCUGGAGCUGCUUGUGAAUGAGACUCGUGAUGCCGAACGCGUCGGUGUUCUCGCUGCUAGUUUUUUCUAUCCCUUGUUUCCAAAGGGUACUUGCAGCGAUCUUAACUUGGAGUGUUUCUACCAGGUUUGUCUUGUGAUGUUGUUUAAGAUUAUAUGCCAUUAACAUUGGAUGUUUUGCCAGGAGUAUCCCCCAGGAGUGUUAGUCAUUCCUAUGCUGUCGCGAACUUUGAAGCCUUUUUGCAAAACUAACUUGGUCAUAAGCGCACCAACGAGUUCACGGUUUUUAGAUGCGGACGUGAACAUCAAUGAUAGUACAUUUACUGGACAGGCUUUGAUUGUAGAUCCUGGUUGCUCAGUUCCGACAUAUAACGAGGUAUGGAUUCUUGUUUUUCGUUUUUCAAGUUGCUUUACAAGAGAACUUUCUGCAGAACAGCUGGUUGCAAUCGUUAGAUUAUUGCCCAAAAAGCUAUUUGUUUUUCUAACUCAUCACCACCUAGAUCACACUGAAGGUCUCCCCGCUGUUAAACGAGCCAACUCCGAGGCCAUUGUCAUAGCGCACGAGAAAACUCUCAAGAGAAUUGGUCCAGGUUUGUGUGAAAUCUAUUCAAGUGCUCAUGCAAAAUUGUAUGAAACAGCUCUUUAUGGCAUCAAGUAUGUAUCAGUAACUGGUGGAACGAAGCUACUUAUCAGCGGACAACGUUUUGAGAUCAUUGCCGCUCCUGUAAGCUGUUUGCGUGAUCUAUUCUUUAGGCAAGCAAGCAAGCUUCAUUGUCAUGGCAGGGCCACACGGAUGGACAUCUUUGUUUGUUUCACCUCGAAACUCGGACUCUUGUCGCUGGCGACCACUGUGUGGGGUAUGCAUAAGUUUUCCAAUCGAGUUUCUAAUCGACGAGAAUCUUUGCAGUGAAGGAAGUUCCAUUGUUGAUGGCAACUCUGGAGGAAAUCUUCAUGUAAUAAACCAGGCUCUUUUAUAUUUUUAUUCUGAUUCUUUUCUCCUUGCGUUUACAGGACUACAUGAACACUAGCCAUCGCCUGUUGGAGCUCGCGCCUAAGGUAGUGGUGCCGAUGCACGGACGGCCCAAUCUCUUGCCUUUGCAGCUUCUCAAAGGAUACAUAAAGUGAGUGAUCUCUAAAGCAAAUUCGCUGGUGGCAACACGUAACUUUGUUUUUUCAGGCAUCGACAAACCAGGGAAGCUACUAUCUUAAAGGCUAUCGAGGCCGGCGCAACGAGUGCGUUCGCCAUAGUUUCUAGUGCGUACAAGCAGACAAACAUAUUGCUCUGGCCAGCAGCGUUGAUCAACGUAAAGGUUCACGUCGACCACCUGCAAAGGCAGCAAAAGCUACCACAGGUAUAAUUCUCACACCAGCGCUGCUAUCGUGUAUCGGCUAAACAUCUACCGCGUUCUCAUCGCAGGGGUUUUCCGUGGAGAAAUUCAAGCGUAGCUGCGGACUCGCUUUCAAAGUGCGAUGGUUUGCGAGAUUCGUCGGUUCGUACGCUUUCCAGCGUAACGCAUGGAGACUCCUGGUAUGCCUUGCCGCGAUUUUCUUCGUUUGGUACAAAUGGGGCCAGGGAUCGGGCGAGGAAGAAGAGUGGUGAAUCUACCAACUUUGAUAGGUGACUAUAAAACUCUCUUAUACAGCAUGGGACUAAUAUAAUGCUCCUGACAAUGUUAUAAACAAUGUAUAUACGCAAAUUUCUUCCUUCUAGAACAAGGUGGUGGAUCGUCAAAGCUCUAAGAUAUGAUAUAUCCAAUCAGACAGAGAAACUCUAGCUGCUGUUACUCUAUACGUGUAACAAUGAUAAUAGCUGGUCUUGUAAACAAUGCAUAUAGCGAGCUUGACUAAGCCUCGUAAAAGCAGGAGCCUCUGCUAGAGUAGAAGUGAUACCUGGCAUUCCACCGAGGACGCUGCUUUAGACAAUGUGACGCCAUGCUUGAACACCACGCUUGAUUUUCCCCUGCGUUGAAGCUUUCCACCGCCCGCUUUUCUUUUCUUUUCUUUUUUUUCUUUCUCCGAAGUAUUGCUUCGUCAGUAGCUUCUCCAGUCCCUUUAUCAAAGCGAGACGUUGAUAGCUCUCGAUAGAAGAACGCUCGCUCGAUCGAAGAAGAACCGUGCCGAAAGAAAGAAAUCUACUUGGCUUGCGACGAUGGCUCGUGGAAGUUUUUGCUGCUCGACCACCACGGUGGUGCUGCUAGUCGCGGCAUUCUUGCCGCUGCUGUGUGGAGCUCAAACUUUCCCAGCUCCGGCACCUGGACUGGCCUAUGGAUUCUACAACACCUCCUGUCCCAGCGCCGAGAGCACCGUCCAGCAAAUGAUGCAGUCCAUUCUCACCUCCAACAUCUCCGAGGCCGCUGGGAUCAUCCGGCUCUUCUUCCACGACUGCUUCGUCCAGGUUACUCGAGCUUUCUCUCUCUCUCUCUCUCUCUCUCUCUCUCUGUUUCUUCCGAGUUGUUCUAGGAACUUUGCUGUGAUCGCAGGGAUGCGAUGGCUCGCUUCUCAUCAAUGCUACCAACGGGGAGCUCUUCUCGAUCCCGAACUUGACCAUUCGUCGCUCUGCUAUUGCCAUCGUGGAGCAGAUCAAGGCGAGAUUGGAGUCGGCCUGUCCGAACACUGUCUCUUGCUCGGAUAUACUCGUCUUGGCUGCUCGAGAAUCCGUGACCCAGGUACUAGCAAAGUCCUGUAAGCUCUUCUCGCGCCAAACCUAUGUGAUCCUUUGCUGUGUUCUUGCCUUCUAAAAGGCUGGAGGACCAUCGUUUCCUGUUCCAACCGGACGUCGCGACGGCACCACCUUCGCCAGUAACCAGACUGUUCUCAGCUUCAUCCCGGCUCCCAGCUUCAACUUCUCACAGCUUAACUCCUCCUUCCAGACCAAAGGCUUGAACGAAGCGGACUUAACAGCUCUCUCAGGUAAAGCAAGCUCCAAAACUUCUCUUGGACCGUUCCAAAAACUCUGUCCUCGCUGCCGCUGCUUUCAGGAGCUCACACCAUCGGAAUCGCGCACUGCUCGGCCUUCAUUGGGAACCUGUAUCCCAACGUCAGCUCCCGUUUCAACUCUUCCUUUGCACAGACCCUGUUGCAGUCCUGCCCAAGCAACACUUCCAACAACGUCGUCAACAUGGACCUGGUCACCCCGAAUGCCUUCGACAGCCAGUACUUCAGCAACGUUCUCUCUGGCUCCGUCGACUUCGACUCGGACGCUGCUCUUCUUAACAGCACCACCACGCAGAGCAGCGUGCAGGCUUUCGCAGCGAACCAGACCCAGUUCUUCAACCAGUUUGCCGUGAGCUUCAUCAAGAUGAGCAUGAUCGAGGUCCUGACCAACUCGAGCGGGAACAUUCGCAAUGUCUGCUCGGUCUUCAACUCCAACAGCAGUAGCACUAUUAGCCUGAACUCGUCCCCUGAGAACCUUGUCGAGCAAGUGUGAGAUUCACAUUAUUUGGCAAUAUCUACAAGCGAGACUUUCAUCACCGAUCUCAGUAAUGAGAAACCUGUUGUUCUAUGGGAGCGUUGUAGUGUCGCCUGCGAAGUUCUGAUUCCGGCUCCAGAGGCUGUUGGAGGUACAGUCUUGUGGGAUCGUUUGGAUCGAUAUAUCUGCGAAAAGAACAAAAGUUCAAUCGGAUUACCGCACGAGGAAAACAACCAGACUCACGCAUGGCGUAUCAUGUCGUCCACCGGUGCCUGGGUCUCUGGAAUGGGAUUUUGAGCAGCAGCACGCAUGGAUUCCGUAGCACGGAUGGAUCGCAACAGGCCGAAGAAAAUAGGAAUGAAAGUUCCAACACCACCUUCUUUGAACAGAAUCUUGAAAGGAUAUGGAGCGUAGAGUGCGGGAUUGGCACCCUCUUGAAUAACCUUCAAAAAAAGAGAGAAGAAAGUCACAAACAAAUUUCGAUGAAGGGAAAAACGAUUUCUUAAGUCUGAAGAACUAGAAAAAUUAACAAAAGGAAGGAACUUACAGGAUGGACCUUCCCGGAUAAGUUGUUGCAAAAGAAGAUAGGCUGGUUGAAGCUCUCUUCGUGAAUAAACAUCUGUGGCAACAAAGGAAAAAAUCACAGCUUUGUCAGGAAAAAGAGAAGAUCUUGCAAAAUAAAUGCUUUGCGUAAAUUACCAGAGGCAUGUCAAACGCGAAGAAAUUCCCUACUGGCUGUCGCGCAACGAAGACGAGGCGAAUAUUGGACAGAUAGAUCGUCCCCUUGGUGACGAUCUUGCCACUGGGAACACUGAAAAACCCAAAGAAAUCCAUGACUCGAUGGAAUCGAUCGAGAAUGCAAUGCUUACUCUGGCAGCUUCUCGACCUGGAACUCCACGCCAUCCCUGGCGAGCGCCAGAACCUCGUUCACAAACGGCAGCGGGAACCCGGAUGGAUGGAGCUGCGGAUUGAGCGCCAUCGCCAAACCCUAAAAUUUCGCCCAGGGAUAAAGAACCCUAAUAUCUGAGAGGGGUUUAAGAUAGAGUAGUCGAGCUAUGGUGUUGCGCCAAUGCGUCUCGGCCCCGGCGGCGCUCGCUAAUCGCUCGCUCUUCCCUUCCAAGGACUGGCGCACUGCGCUCCAGAGGAGCGGGCGCGGCCAGCGCGGUUUCCAGUCGGCGGUAUGCGUCCACGGGCCAAUGCUGGGCAGGAUUCGCGCGAAUGCGACGAGGAAGAAGCCCGUGUCGAUCGAUUCUCUCAAGAACAAGAGCCCGCCGCCAGUGGUGAGCUUGACAGGAGUGUCGCCGCAUCCAAAUGUUUACAGGGAUUUCUCGGAUGGAGACGACGAGGCCGAGCCAGAGGGUAGCGUCAUCCAGCUCAAGAAAUCUCCCUCGAGCAAGAAGAAAUCCAAUGCCAGGCCCCCAAAGAAGGAGCUGCGAUUCAGUGACUCCGAGGAGGAGGAAGAAGAGAUCGAUGCUCAAGUAAGUGAUAGUGAUAAAGAGCUAGAAGAAGAAGAUGAUGAUCAAACCGGAGAGAUAUCGCGAAAACCAGUGCUCACACUUCCGCAAGAGAAAGACGUGGAGGAUCUCAUGAACAGCUCUCGAGCGAUUCUCUACGAGAGAUUCGUGUUCAAGCAUCUCGGAGAGAGGCCGACGAGGCAGCUGUUUGGAUCAAACAUCCACGUCCUGGCCAACGCGUCCCGGGUGAAGAUAAACUCGGUGGAGUUUAUCAAGAGCAGCGAUGGGAUCAAGGACUGUCCCAUGGAUGGUUUUCCAGAGGUGGCUUUCGUUGGGCGAUCCAAUGUCGGGAAGUCCUCGCUCGUGAAUCUUCUCAUGGAGAGGAAGAGCUUGGCUUUGGUGUCGAAGAAACCCGGUAAGUUCUUCACGGUUUUGAUCUUCUUCUUGGAAGAACUUUGGAAUUUCUUUUUGCCAGGGAAAACGCAGCUUAUCAACCAUUUUCUCGUCAACAAGCGAUGGUAUCUGGUGGAUUUACCGGGUUACGGGUAUGAUCUUUCAGCGUUUCUCGUUGUUCUUCGAUGGUUUUAACUCUUGGUUUUGGUUUCUUAGUUUUGCAAGCGCUCCAAAAACUUUGUGUGUCAAGUGGAACGAAUUCACCAAGGAUUACUUCCUCAAGAGGAAGACGCUCGUCAUGGUUGUCCAGCUGAUCGACUCCUCCAUCCCCGUGCAGCAAAUCGACAUCGAUUGCGCGACUUGGCUCAAGCAACACAACGUAAGUCUCGAUCGAGCGAGCGAGUAUUCGCUCGAUCUAGCUCUCAAAAACUCCUUUUUUGUUGGUUUUAAUCCUUGGUUUCUUGGCGAUCGUAGAUCCCAUCGACGCUGGCUUUCACGAAGUGCGAUCGAAAGAAGAAGAAGAGGAAAACCGGAGGAAAGCAUCCGGUGGACAAUGUGGUGGAGUUCUUGCAGGAAAUGAGGCUGGUAACUACGCAAACUUACCCGUGGAUUUUGACGAGCUGCGUUACCGGGCAAGGCAGGGACGAGCUGAUGAUGCACAUAGAAGAGUUUCGAAAUUACUGGCACAGUUAAAAAGUAAAUCUUGGUUAAAACAGAGGGGUUUAAAAAACUAACCGGCGGGGUUUAACAAGUGGCGCCGCUAUGGGCGAAGCGGCGCCACCAACCUCACGAUAUAAAAUGUGUUGCCAUAAACCCUAGUUUGUGGAGUGGAGGGAAUUUAGGGCGAGCGCGGAAGAACACGACGCAAUGACCCCAGCGCGCGCGAGGCAGGGCAACGGCGCACUCCGGAUUCGGCUGUGAGUCUCGGAUUCUCCUCAGCUUCUCUCCAGGUUGGUCUUUUCUUUCUUCCUUCGGAUUUCCUUCGUGUCGCGUGUAAAUCUCGUUGCUCGUUUGUGGAUUCCGCGCAAUCGCUGUGAGUGUGUCGAGAGUGGGAGGGAAUUGGGAGAGAUCUAGUGUAGGAAAAUGCGGUGUCGGGAUGGAUUAAGAGAGGGAAAGAGGUGUUGACGGAAUUUACAUGUGAGGCGUUCUUUCAAGCUAGUUUUUGGGGGGGGGAGGGGAAGGGAGAGGGAGAGAUAAUAAAAAUGCCAAACUCCACGGAGGAAGGGGGAGGGAGCUCUGGGGGUAAUCACUCUGGGUCGGGGUCUAGGAAGGAGAAGAAGAAGCAGGCCAAGGAAGAGAGGGACCGACUCAAACAGGCCGAGAAGAAGAAGCGCAGGCUUGAGAAGGCGCUAGCAACUGCGGCGGCAAUUCGAUCCGAGCUCGAGAAGAAGAAGCAGCGGAGAAAAGAGGAGGAGCAGCGGCUGGACGAGGAAGGUGCUGCUCUCGCCGAGGCUGUGGCUCUGCAAGUUUUGGUCGAGGAGGACUUUGAAGGUGGCGGCAAAGUAGAACAGGAGGAGGUUUGUAGCUUGGAAAGUGAUGAGAGCGUUGUUGGUGAGACGAGGAGGCAGUCGGGGGGUGUUUUCAGUGGGCAGCGAGUGUCGGGAAGCUCGACUUCUACUACGGAGAAUGUGAGGAAGGGGACGAACACGAACGAGAAGGGGUCAUGGGUUUGUGAGUGGGACUCGCCGGUGGGAGGGGGGCAGAAUGACGAUGAGUUCCUUAGCAAGAAGGGACUUAUCACCACGGCCGAGGAGAAGGCGAGAGUUAGCACCGAGAGAGCUAAAGCAGCGGAGAUGGCCGCUGGACUUGCUGCUGCGCAGGCUGUGGCUGCUCUCAGGAUCGCCGAAGAGGCUCGAGCUGAGGCUGAGGCUGCCAAGAAAGCCGCAGAAGCGGCCAUGAUCGAAGCACUUGAUCAGCGUGAUCCUCAGCACAAGAGAGACCAAGAGAUGGUAAACGUUCCAUUUGUCCAUGUUUUGGGAUGACGAAACUUACCGCUUUCUUGCAGAGUGUGGUGCGUGAACCCGAGGAAGACAAGGCGGAGUUGAAGGCGAGGCUUAUCGAGACGGAGAAGAAGUUACUGGAGAAAACCAGACGGGUUUCAGAGCUGGAGCAGAACCUUGAUGAGGUUACUCAAUACUUACUGGAGUUCAAAGCCAAGUUUGAGAGCGAUAAGAACGCUACGAUUCUCAGCUGCACAGCGGACGGAGUUACAUCACAGGUGGGACAGUAGGCCAUUUUGCGAGUAAGUCCAUACGGAGGUGACGCAGCCAACGCUGCUGAUCCUGUGGAUCGCCUGGCAUGGGGGCUCGUACGUAGUAUCUAUCAGUCAGUGGAUCAUCGUCGAGGCAAUUUCUAAGGCAGCACUAUGGUGGACGCUGCUGCACAGAUGAUGGGGUACUAUGGCUUUCAGAGCUAUGGAAUUCCUGGUUUCGGCUGGCAAUACGGGGGAUAAGGACAGGGCAGGAUACUGGAGCUCAGUUGCGUGGCCGAGACGAUACGAAAAUGCAGAUAUGUUCAAGCGAGAAGGAAGCGAUGAGCAGAUAAAACGAAGAUAAUUGUCUAUAGACUCGGUCGGGGGCUUCGGACAAAUAACAAGCUUUAUAUCCUUGGUGGACAUUGAGGCUGCUGAUGUGGAUGGACCAAAAUCCAGUCUUGGGAAUUACGUGGCAGAGUGGAGACCGCAGGGUUGAAUGUUUGUUUCACGCAAAGUCUCUCUCGGCAGCUACAACUACUCUAGCACUUGCACAAUGGCGUGGUGACUGAUUUGUGGAGCACCCAUAUGGGGAUUCUAUCGCCGGUGUUUGCAGCAGCAGUUUUGACACCGUCGAGGCCGUCCAGUAGCCAGCAGCAGGAUGUCUUGAGCUAUGAGGCCGGUCAGCGAUUGUACUUGGAUCCCAGGGCAGGGAAUGUGUCUGCCGCUCUUGCUCAGAAUUAUGUGAAGCCGACUGUUUCUCGAGCAGCUAGCCAGAGAAAUGAUGACGCCGAAGCUGAGGCAAGGGCCCUCGCACGAGCUGUGAAUGCUCCGAAGUAUGAUCCGGCUGAGCUCUCUAGGCGCUAUGGAGGACAGCCACUCCAGGUACUUAAUUUUCAGUGUUUGUAGUUUUGUCUCCCGAGAAUGGAGUUUUUGGAUUGAUUGUUUGUCGCAGGUGACUAGAAGGACGCUGAAUAUACUGCUCGAGCUUGGCUCGUUUGCAGCCGAUUUGUACUUGGACAAGCAAAGAGGCGAGCUAGAGCGGAACAAACGAGUCCGUGCAAUUCAACUCAGGCAGAAGCUUACAAAGCUUGGUCCUACUUUUGUGAAGAUUGGCCAGGGGUUAUCAACCCGUCCAGAUUUGUGUCCGCCCGAGUACCUUGAAGAGCUUGCUGAGCUUCAGGUAAGCACCCAUAUUUCACAGCAUGGCAAGUGAGUAACGCUUGCUUUCCAGGAUGCUUUGCCAACUUUUCCCGAUGCCGAGGCAUUUUCAUGGAUUGAAAGUGAACUCGGGGCAAGGCUUGAAGACGUUUACUCUUCUAUAACUCCGUCUCCGGUAGCAGCUGCUAGUUUAGGACAGGUUUACAAAGCGGUUUUGCGAUCUACUGGAGAAGUUGUUGCUGUGAAGGUACAGCGGCCAGGUAUAGCUCAAGCCAUUGGCCUCGAUUUUUUUCUUCUCAGGAACGUAUGCCAACUCAUUGAUAAGUAUGUGGAUGUUGUUACUACUAAUGUCGUUGCUCUGCUGGAUGAAUUUGCUAGCCGAGUAUAUCAAGAGCUUAAUUACGUUCAGGUGGGUGCUACAUUUUCUCUCCAGUUGUGUUUCGCUAACGUUUGUUUCCUUUUUACCAGGAAGGCUUUAAUGCGAAGAAGUUUAUGGAGUUAUAUGGAGACAGGGUAGACGUCAAAGUACCCAGUAUUUGCUGGGAUUACACAAGCGUGAAGGUCUUGACUAUGGAAUGGAUUGAUGGCACCAAGCUUAGCGAACAGGAGGUUAUCGAAAGCCAGGGACUCAACGUUUUGAAGAUGGUGGACAUCGGCAUUCAGUGCAGCCUUCGUCAGCUCCUGGAGUAUGGUUACUUCCAUGCGGAUCCUCAUCCCGGGAAUUUACUCGCAACUCCAGAAGGGAAGCUGGCUUUUAUAGAUUUCGGGAUGAUGAGUGACACUCCGCCUCAAGCAAGGUUCGCAAUCAUCGGGCAUGUUGUCCAUAUGGUAAAUCGAGACUACGAGGCUAUGGCUCGGGAUUACUACGCACUUGACUUUCUAUCCCCGGACGUGGAUGUCUCUCCAAUAGUUCCCGCGUUGAAGUCUUUCUUCGAUGACGUUCUGGACGCGACCGUAAGCGAACUCAACUUCAAGACAAUUGUGGACGGACUUGGAGCUGUUCUUUACCAGUAUCCUUUUGAUGGUACGUACCUUCUGGAUUGUAAACUUGCCUCACUAAUGUUUCUUUUCUCUCUUUUUCUUUUUUCAGUUCCACCAUACUAUGCUUUGAUCUUGAGGUCCUUGACGGUGCUCGAAGGCUUGGCCCUGUAUACCGAUCCAAAUUUUAAAGUUCUCGCGGCUGCUUAUCCAUACUUCGCAAAGAGGCUGCUCACGGAUCCAAAUCCUUACUUGCGUGAUGCUCUGGUUGAGCUCCUUUUCAAAGAUGGUAGCUUCAGGUAGGCCUCCCAAUUGUUUUUUUCUUUCUUCGUGUGUCUUACUCUUGUGCUUCAGGUGGCAGAGGUUAGAAAAUCUACUAGUCCAGGGACGGAAGUCGUCCGAUUUUGUAGCAAAAGAUGCGUUACAGCCCGUUUUGCAGCUCAUGCUCGGAGAGGAAGGAGCUGAGCUCCGCCGCCUCGUCGAGAAAGAAGCAGUACGAGUCCUGGAGGCGCUCGUCAUCGGUAGCACGGUAGAAGGUUACAAGUCCUUGCCGGAGCCCCUCAAGUUCGUAGUCAACAGGGGCAACAACGGGCGCGUGAUCGCUCUCAAAGAACAGGAAGAGGCCCAGAUGCUCAAGCUUCGCCAGCAGGUGCUUCGAGUGUGGGGUCUCCUUCGAACAUCCUCGGGUUUUGAUCCAGCAAUGCUUCAACCAGUUGUCGAGGUAAGAGAAACUCCUUGAAAACUUCGCUCGUCACUGUUUUUAUGGCAGAUUCUCAGGCUCCCGGAAGCACAGUCUAUGGGUGCCCACGUUGCGACAGGCUUGACUAAACGUCUCGCUGCGCGACUGUUGCAGCAACUUCUCAAGCCAGCGACACCAUUGCCAGCUUAAGCACCUUGUAAAAAAUUGUUCGCUGUAAGCUCAGAAUUGGAUUAGUGUAUUAACUUGGUUUAUAAAGAUUCUUUAUGAUUAAGCUAGGGCUUGUAUUCUUCCAAUUUUAUUUUUUCUUCAGCGCCAUGAAAAGGACGGGAUUGGAGUUUUUCUACGCUUGACAUUGCCACCAAAGAAAAGAAGAAAAGGGUGAAGGUGACACACAAUUCUUUGCCGCUACCGCCAGCUUUGGAGGAGAAACCCACACUUGUGUUGGAUAUGGAUGAGACACUAAUCCAUGCCCACAAGGCCAUAGCAUCUCUUAAGCUCUUCAGUGGGAAAACUCUUCCACUCAAGCGUUACCUUGUGGCAAAGAGGCCAGGUGUGAAUACAUUUCUAGAUGAGAUGAGUAAGAUAUACGAGAUCGUGGUUUUUACUCGAGUAGUAAAGCCAUAUGCAGACAGGAUUUUGGAUAGGCUCGACCCAGUUGGGAAUCUCUUCACCCAUCGCCUCUAUAGGGAUUCGUGCUUGACCAAGGAAGUCAGAGGGAGAAAGGUUGUGAAAGAUCUUUCGAGAUUAGGGCGGGACCUCAGACACACAGUGAUCGUGGACGACAAACCAGAGUCUUUUUGCUUGCAACCCAACAAUGGAAUUGUCAUCCGAGCAUUCAAAAACAGAAAAGGGCAUAAGUAUGAUGAAUUGAAGACAAUAAGCAAUCUACUCAAGGAAAUUGCAAGAGUUGAAGACAUAAGGCAAGCAUUGGAGAAGGUAAAAAGUUCCAAGUCCGUCCACAAUUGUCUCAUAAAAAGAAACUCAUGUAUCCACUGUUUAUGCUGUAACACUGCUCACUCUAGAUUGGGGCAUUGUUUUUCUCAUGUCCAAUUUAAACUUUGGAAACAAUGUCAAGCAUCUUGAGUUUCAGUCUGAUUAAUCACUUGAGAGCCAAUAGAUAAUUGUGCUACUUAAGCAGCAGUGUAAAGAGAGACAAUCGAUAUAUUAUGCAAAGAGAACAUGUCCUGUCCUGAAACGCACCAUAGAGCCUCUCAAAAUCUCAUGGCUCGAUUAACUGGCCUAUCCUUUUAGCAUGGCAGUUAGCAAUGACACUGUGCAUUACUUAGAAACCGUCAGAGAUAACCAAGAUCUCAGUAGGACGAACUUCUUAAAACUUGAGGAAAAAGAUUGACAGACGUUGAGAUCCUCUGGAGAUAUCAUCAGCUGCUGGAUGUGGUGGAGGCGGAGCAGAACCUCAGGUCAGACCCUGCUUAUCUUUCUUACUAUCACUCGCAUGUCCAAGCCUCUUGUUUGAGUAGUUUACUGUGUGUUCUUUCUCACAGCACGAAACCUCAGAGCUAUAGAAACGUUAGCUUUCAAUGAAAACAAUUCAAAGUUGAUACUAGAGAAAUGGACAAUGGCACAUACUUUUUGCUCUCCUUUCGAGAUCGUGGCACUACUAAAGUCCUGCAAGGAUCUCGCCCAAGGCAGGCAAAUCCACGCGCAGAUUUCGGCUAGCAAACACCACAGCAAGAACAUUGCCCUCUCCAACCUCCUCGUCAAGAUGUAUGGUAGAUGUGGCAGCCUCGACGAUGCAUGGCGGGUUUUCGACGGCCUGGAUCAGCCCAACGUUUACUCCUGGAAUAUCAUGAUUCGAGCAUAUACCGAAAAUGGGGAUAUGCUGCGAGCUCGCGCCCUCUUCGACAAGAUGGCUCAAAAGAAUGUGGUCUCCUGGACAACGAUCAUAGAAUCUUACGGACGAAGCGGGAAUAUACUUGAAGCCAAGAAUCUUUUUGAGUUGAUGCCUGACCGCGAUGUAGUUUCUUGCAAUGUGAUGAUCGAGGCAUUUGCCCAGAACGGGCAUCUCCAGGCAGCAAGGAGGCUGUUUAACGAGAUGGACGACAGGGAUGUUGCCACGUGGACGACCAUGAUCACGGCCUACUCCCAACGCGGGGAUCUGGUCGUCGCCCGCGAGUUCUUUGACGGGAUGCCGUACAGGAGCAUUGUUUCGUGGAGCGCCAUGGUCACCGGGUACGGACAGAAUGGCCAGCUCCAGCAGUCGCGCUGGGUGUUUGAAUCCAUGCCCGAGAGGAACCUUUUGACGUGGACAGUCAUGGUUGCGGUGUAUGCCCAGUGUGGGCAUUUGGAGGAGGCCAAAGAGUUGUUUGAUGCGAUGCCGGAGAGGGAUGUGGUGGCCUGGAAUGCGAUGAUUACCGGGUUUUCGAAGAACUUUAAAUUGAUGGAAGCGCGCAAGAUGUUUGAUUCUAUGCCUCGGAGGGACUUGGUGUCGUGGGCAUUAAUAAUCUCUGCAUAUGCUCAGAACGGGAAUAUACUACAAGCAGAGGCUUUGUUUAACUUAAUGCCUUUCCAGAACUUAAUAGCAAAAAACACGAUUAUGGAUGCGUAUGCAUCUCAUGGUCAGAUUGAUAAAGCUAGAUUCUUAUUUGAUCAGAGUCUAGAACGGAAUCUAGUGUCGUGGACAACAAUGAUCACUGCAUAUGCCAGAAACGGGCAUCUGGAAAUGGCAAAGGAUCUGUUUGAUCAGAUGCCAGAGCGCGACACUGUUUCUUGGAACACUUUGAUCAACGCUUACGCGCAGCAGGGCUUCGUUGAUGAGGCAUUAGAUAUUCUCAGCCAGAUGCCAUGGAAAGAUGUAGUGUCGUGGAACAUUAUCAUCGCUGCAAAUGCCCAGAACGGAGAAAACGAACAAGCAAUCGCCCUCUUUCGGCAAAUGGACCUUGAGGGCAUUCCUGCCAACGAGAUCACAUUUAUCACGGUCCUGGACGCCUGCACAACGAUAUCUGAUCUAAAGAUCGGGCGGGCAGUCCAUGCCGAGGCAGUGACGAGUGGAUUGGGAGGUGUGGAGGCAGUGACCACGGCUGCAAUUACAAUGUGUGGGAAAUCCGGGAGCUUGCCAGAGGCUACGAGGCUAUUUCAAUCUAUGCCGGUCAAGAGCACAGUAGCAUGGGGCGCGAUGAUCACAAUCUACGCACAGGGUGGACAAAGUGAAAUCGCCCUUGAUCUCUUUCGGGACAUGGAGCUUGACGGGAUCCAAGCGGAUGGCAUCACUUUCAUAGCUGUGCUGUCAGCUUGCUGCCAUUGUGGGAGAUUUCGGGAGGGAUGGGAGUUUUUUGUGAGCUUGAGGCUGGACUAUUGGGUGGAACCCAUGGCUGAGCACUAUGAGUGUCUUGUGGAUCAGUUGGGAAGAGCGGGCAAAUUGAGAGAGGCGGAAGAACUGAUUGAGAGCAUGCCAUUCUAUCCCACUCCAGUUGCUUAUACUCAGCUCCUGAGUGCUGUAAAGACGCAGGAGGGUGAUCAAGGUGAUCGUGGCAAUAUAAUCAGGUCUAGUGCUGAAAAUUUGGCUACUAAAGUACAAGAACUAGAUGAUCAAAACUCGUCUAGUUAUGUGCUUCUAUCCACCUUAUAAAAAGACAAAGAUUUCACUUCGAUGUAUGUUUUAGCUUUCAAGCCACAUUAUCUACCACUGAGUAACAACUGAAUGGACUUUCGAAGUUCCAUCCCUUCCUCCAGCUUUCCACCCCUCAUAAGCAUGUCAAAAAUGCAAACAUAGUGAUCAACCAUGCUCUCAAUCCCAAAGUCCUGGAUCAUGGAGAUCAGGAAAUGUUUGGCUUGGCAGAGUGAUCCUCCAUGACCACAAGAAGCAAUAAUGCCAAUAAAUGAGAUCUCGUUUGGUGUCACGCCUUCAACAAGCAUGCUAUGGAAGCAUUCAACAGCCCUUCCAAAAUGCCCAGUUCGGGAAAGUGCUGUCAACAUUGCCGUCCAGGAAAUGAUACUUCGAUUUGCCAUUCUUGAGAAAACUAUCUCUGCCCAUUCAAUCGAUCCACCAUUACCAUACAUGCUGAUGAUGGCAUUUGCAAUCUCAAUCUCCUCCGGGUGUGCGACUCUCCAGUGGAUCUCCCUGCCCUGGAGAAGAUCUGGGAUGCUAGAACAUGCCUCAAUCACUGUAAGAAAUGUGAUCUUGUUUGGUGGCACAUUCAUCCUAUAAAACAAAUCAAUUGCCUUCCUUGGCUGGUUAUUGCGUGUGUAAGCACAGAUCAUUGCAUUCCAUGAUGCUGCAUUUUUAUCUGGCAUGCUCUCAAAUAAAAUAAUUGCUUCUUCCAAUUGCCCUGCCUGUCCAUAUGCGGCUACCAUGGCGUUCCACACAAUUGUGUCGUAUGAAGGCAUUUGUACAAACAGACAAUGGGCUUCUUCCAGGUGCCCUGCAUGGGCAUUUGCUACAACCAUAGUUGUCCACGUCACUACAUCCUUUUCAAGCAUGGACUGAAAAACUUGUUUAGCUUUAGUUAAAUUACCGUCUUGGCAGUAUGCUGACAAUAUCGUGUUACACGAGAAAAUAUCCCAUUCAAGCAUUCUAUUUAGUAGAGUUUCUGCCCUAUGCAGAUUAUUUGUUUUUGCAAAGGCUGCUAGCAUUGCAUUUGAUGCCAUGAGAUUUUUUUCUGGCAUUUUUUCAAAAAAGAGAUUUGCCUUAUCAACACAAGAACAUGUGGCAUAUCCAACGACAAUUGCAACCCAUGAUUCAAUGUCUCGUUCAGGGAUGCGAUGAAACAAAAUUUCUGCUUCUUGUAAAUGCCCUGAUUUGGCAUAUGCAGCGAUCAUGUUGUUCCAGGUAAGAAUGUUUCUGUAGGGCAUCUGGUUGAAGACGUCCAGCGCCCGUUCAAUGAGACCACACUUUCCGUAAAGUUUGAUGAUGAGAGUGUUGAGGUAGACAUUGGCAUGGUGCUCACUUCUUGAAAUUUCUGAAUGGAGACAAAUCCCCGUUCCUAGAUUCUUUGUGUUAUAACAUGCUUUAAGAAGAGUGCCCAGUCUUCCCACAUCAGUUAGGGUUGAUUGAAGCAUGCUAGAGCAAAUCAAUCAAUCUAUACAUUUAUUUCAAAGAAUAUUUAAAAUGUAUAGCAGAGAAUAUUAUUAACAAAUCCUAUUACAAAUCAAAUUUUUGCACUGCAACAUUUUAGUUUUUUUUAUAGGUGUUUAAUUU